rnacentral:lncRNA from 1 species
CGCUGGUCCCGGUGGUCCCGGUACGUUACCGGUGAUGCCCGAAACACUUCCGGUAUCCGAAACCAUCCGUCCUAUAUAUCAAUCUUUACCUCCGGACCAUUCCGGAGCUCCUCGUGACGUCCGGGAUCUCAUCCGGGACUCCGAACAACUUUCGGUAACCUCGUAUAACAAUUCCCUAUAACCCUAGCGUCAUCGAACCUUAAGUGUGUAGACCCUACGGGUUCGGGAGAAGGCAGACAUGACCGAGACACCUCUCUGGCCAAUAACCAUCAGCGGGGUCUGGAUACCCAUGGUGGCUCCCACUUGCUCCACGAUGAUCUCAUCGGAUGAACCACGAUGUCAAGGAUUCAAUCAAUCCCGUACACGAUUCCCUUUGUCUGUAGGUAUAGAACUUGCCCGAGAUUCGAUCGUCGGUAUACCUAUACCUUGUUCAAUCUCGUUACCGGUAAGUCUCUUUACUCGUUCCGUAGUAGGUCAUCGUGUGACUAANNNNNNNNNNNNNNNNNNNNNNNNNNNNNNNNNNNNNNNNNNNNNNNNNNNNNNNNNNNNNNNNNNNNNNNNNNNNNNNNNNNNNNNNNNNNNNNNNNNNCUUGAACAUAGUCUAAAUCCACUUUGAAUAUAUUUGUGUUGUAGAUCAUGGCUCACGCGACAGUCAUCCUGAAUUUUAAUACGUUCCUAGAGAAAGCUAAGUUGAAAGAUGAUGGAAGCAACUUUGUAGAUUGGGCUCGUAAUCUUAAGCUAAUCUUACAAGCUGGGAAGAAGGAUUAUGUCCUUAAUGCUGUGUUAGGAGAUGAACCACCCGCUACGGCUGAUCAGGAUGUUAAGAACGCUUGGUUAGCACGUAAGGAGGACUACUCAAUAGUUCAAUGCGCAGUCUUGUAUGGCUUAGGACCGGAACUUCAACGUCGCUUUGAGCGUCAUGGAGCAUUUGAGAUGUUCCAGGAGUUGGAGUUUAUCUUUCAGAAGAACGCCCGGAUCGAGAGGUAUGAGACCUCCGAUAAAUUCUAUGCUUGCAAGAUGGAGGAAAACUCAUCUGUUAGUGAACAUGUGCUCAAAAUGUCUGGGUACUCAAACCGUCUGGCUGAGCUGGGGAUUGAACUCCCGCAAGAAGCUAUCACUGACAGAAUCCUUCAAUCACUGCCGCCAAGCUAUAAAGGAUUUGUGUUGAACUACAACAUGCAAGGGAUGAACAAGUCUCCCGGCGAGUUGUUUGCGAUGCUGAAAGUCGCAGAGUCUGAACUCCGUAAAGAGCAUCAAGUGUUGAUGGUGAAUAAGACCACUAGUUUCAAGAGAAAUGGCAAAGGCAAGAAGGGCAAUUCGAAGAAGAGCGGCAAGCCUGUUGCCAAUCCGACGAAGAAACCCAAAGCUGGACCUAAGCCGGAAACAGAGUGUUACUAUUGCAAGGGUAUGGGUCACUGGAAGCGCAAUUGCCCCAAGUAUCUGGCAGAUAAGAAGGCGGGCAAAGAGAAAUCAGGUAUAUUUGAUAUACAUGUUAUUGAUGUGUACUUAACCGGCUCUCGUAGUAGUGCCUGGGUAUUCGAUACCGGUUCUGUUGCUCAUAUUUGCAACUCGAAACAGGAACUGCGGAAUAGGCGAAGGCUGGCGAAAGAUGAAGUGACGAUGCGCGUAGGAAAUGGUUCCAAGGUUGAUGCAAUCGCCAUCGGCACAGUGUCACUUCAGUUACCGUCAGGAUUAGUGAUGAACUUAAAUCAUUGUUAUUUAGUGCCUGCGUUGAGCAUGAACAUUAUAUCUGGAUCUUGUUUAUUGCGAGACGGUUACUCUUUUAAGUCAGAGAAUAAUGGUUGUUCUAUUUCUAUGAGUAACAUCUUUUAUGGUCAUGCACCGAAUGUGAGAGGAUUGUUCAUAUUGAAUCUUGAUAGCAAUACGCAUAUACAUAACAUUGAGACCAAAAGAGUUAGAGUUAACAAUGAUAGCGCCAUAUUUUUGUGGCACUGCCGCUUGGGUCAUAUUGGUGUAAAGCGCAUGAAGAAACUCCAUGCUGAUGGACUUUUGGAGUCACUUGACUUUGAUUCACUUGACACGUACGAACCAUGCCUCAUGGGCAAGNNNNNNNNNNNNNNNNNNNNNNNNNNNNNNNNNNNNNNNNNNNNNNNNNNNNNNNNNNNNNNNNNNNNNNNNNNNNNNNNNNNNNNNNNNNNNNNNNNNNNNNNNNNNNNNNNNNNNNNNNNNNNNNNNNNNNNNNNNNNNNNNNNNNNNNNNNNNNNNNNNNNNNNNNNNNNNNNNNNNNNNNNNNNNNNNNNNNNNNNNNNNNNNNNNNNNNNNNNNNNNNNNNNNNNNNNNNNNNNNNNNNNNNNNNNNNNNNNNNNNNNNNNNNNNNNNNNNNNNNCCUUCACUGACGAUUUAAGUAGAUAUGGUUAUGUCUACUUGAUGAAGCACAAGUCUGAAACAUUUGAAAAGUUCAAGCAAUUUCAGAGUGAAGUGGAAAAUCAUCGUAACAAGAAGAUCAAGUUCCUGCGGUCUGAUCGUGGGGGUGAAUAUCUGAGUUUCGAGUUCGGUGCUCACUUAAGACAAUGUGGAAUUAUUUCACAGUUAACACCGCCUGGAACACCACAGCGUAAUGGUGUGUCCGAACGUCGUAAUCGUACUCUAUUAGAGAUGGUGCGAUCUAUGAUGUCUCUUACUGAUUUGCCCUUAUCAUUUUGGGGCUAUGCAUUAGAAACAGNNNNNNNNNNNNNNNNNNNNNNNNNNNNNNNNNNNNNNNNNNNNNNNNNNNNNNNNNNNNNNNNNNNNNNNNNNNNNNNNNNNNNNNNNNNNNNNNNNNNCUAGCCAACUAGAGGCAUGCUAGGGACGGUGUUUUGUCUAUGCAUCCACACAUGUAAAUGAGUCUUCAUUCAAUACAAUUAUAGCAUGGAUAAUAACUAUUAUCUUGAUACAGGAAUUAUAAUAAUAACUAUACAUUUAUUAUUGCCUCUAGGGCAUAAUUCCAACAGUCUCCCACUUGCACUAGAGUCAAUAAUCUAGCCCUCACAUCACCAUGUGAAUUACAUUGUAAUAAAUCUAACACCCAUACAGUUCUGGUGUCGAUCAUGUUUUGGCCGUGGAAGAGGUUUAGUCAGCGGGUCUGCUACAUUCAGAUCCGUGUGCACUUUGCAUAUAUUUACGUCCUCCUCCUCGACGUAGUCGCGGAUGAGGUUGAAGCGUCGUUUGAUGUGUCUGGUCUUCUUGUGAAACCUUGGUUCCUUUGCUAAGGCAAUGGCACCAGUGUUGUCACAGAACAAGGUUAUUGGAUCCAGUGCACUUGGCACCACUCCAAGAUCCGUCAUGAACUGCUUCAUCCAGACACCCUCCUUAGCCGCCUCCGAGGCAGCCAUGUAUUCCGCUUCACAUGUAGAAUCUGCUACGACGCUUUGCUUGGAACUGCACCAGCUUACUGCACCCCCGUUAAGAAUAAAUACGUAUCCGGUUUGCGACUUAGAGUCGUCCGGAUCUGUGUCAAAGCUUGCAUCGACGUAACCUUUUACGGCGAGCUCUUCGUCACCUCCAUACACGAGAAACAUCUCCUUAGUCCUUUUCAGGUACUUUAGGAUAUUCUUGACCGCUGUCCAGUGAUCCACUCCUGGAUUACUCUGGAACCUGCCUGCCAUACUUAUGGCCAGGCUAACAUCCGGUCUAGUGCACAGCAUCGCAUACAUGAUAGAGCCUAUGGCUGAAGCAUAGGGUACGAAGCGCAUAUGCUCUCUAUCUUCAUCAGUUGCUGGGCACUGAGUCUUACUCAAUCUCGUACCUUGUAACACUGGCAAGAACCCUUUCUUGGACUGUUCCANNNNNNNNNNNNNNNNNNNNNNNNNNNNNNNNNNNNNNNNNNNNNNNNNNNNNNNNNNNNNNNNNNNNNNNNNNNNNNNNNNNNNNNNNNNNNNNNNNNNNNNNNNNNNNNUCCUAGGUCCUUCAUAGAGAAACUUUUAUUCAAGUAACCUUUUCUGCUCUCCAAAAGCUCUACGUUGUUUCCAAUCAGUAAUAUGUCAUCCACAUACAACAUUAGAAAUGCCACAGAGCUCCCACUCACUUUCUUGUAAAUACAAGAUUCUCCAACCACUUGUAUAAAACCAAAUGCUUUGAUCANNNNNNNNNNNNNNNNNNNNNNNNNNNNNNNNNNNNNNNNNNNNNNNNNNNNNNNNNNNNNNNNNNNNNNNNNNNNNNNNNNNNNNNNNNNNNNNNNNNNNNNNNNNNNNNNNNNNNNNNNNNNNNNNNNNNNNNNNNNNNNNNNNNNNNNNNNNNNNNNNNNNNNNNNNNNGAGAUGCUUGCACCAGUCCAUAAAUGGAUCGCUGGAGCUUGCACACCUUGUCAGCAUUUUUAGGAUCGACAAAACCUUCGGGUUGCAUCAUAUACAACUCUUCCUUAAGGAAACCGUUAAGGAAUGCCGUUUUGACAUCCAUCUGCCAGAUUUCAUAAUCGAAAAAUGCACCUAUUGCUAACAUGAUUCUGACGGACUUAAGCAUCGCUACGGGUGAGAAGGUCUCAUCGUAGUCAACUCCUGGAACUUGUGAAAAACCCUUUGCCACAAGUCGAGCUUUAUAAACGGUCACAUUACCGUCAGCGUCCGUCUUCUUCUUAAAGAUCCAUUUGUUCUGAAUAGCCUUGCGGCCCUCAGGUAGUAUCUCCAAAGUCCACACUUUGUUCUCAUACANNNNNNNNNNNNNNNNNNNNNNNNNNNNNNNNNNNNNNNNNNNNNNNNNNNNNNNNNNNNNNNNNNNNNNNNNNNNNNNNNNNNNNNNNNNNNNNNNNNNUGUAUGAGAACAAAGUAUGGACUUUGGAGGUACUGCCUGAGGGCCGCAAGGCCAUUCAAAACAAAUGGAUCUUUAAGAGGAAGACGGACGCUGACGGUAAUGUGACCGUUUAUAAAGCUCGACUUGUGGCAAAGGGUUUUUCACAAGUUCAAGGAGUUGACUACGAUGAGACUUUCUCACCCGUAGCGAUGCUUAAGUCCGUCAGAAUCAUGUUAUCAAUAGCUGCAUUUUUCGAUUAUGAAAUCUGGCAGAUGGAUGUCAAAACGGCGUUCCUUAACGGUUUCCUUAAGGAAGAAUUGUAUAUGAUACAACCCGAAGNNNNNNNNNNNNNNNNNNNNNNNNNNNNNNNNNNNNNNNNNNNNNNNNNNNNNNNNNNNNNNNNNNNNNNNNNNNNNNNNNNNNNNNNNNNNNNNNNNNNNNNNNNNNNNNNNNNNNNNNNNNNNNNNNNNNNNNNNNNNNNNNNNNNNNNNNNNNNNNNNNNNNNNNNNNNNNNNNNNNNNNNNNNNNNNNNNNNNNNNNNNNNNNNNNNNNNNNNNNNNNNNNNNNNNNNNNNNNNNNNNNNNNNNNNNNNNNNNNNNNNNNNNNNUGAUCAAAGCAUUUGGGUUUAUACAAGUGGUUGGAGAAUCUUGUAUUUACAAGAAAGUGAGUGGGAGCUCUGUGGCGUUUCUAAUAUUAUAUGUGGAUGACAUAUUACUGAUUGGAAACAACGUAGAGUUUUUAGAGAGCAUAAAGGAUUACUUGACUAAAAGUUUCUGUAUGAAGGACCUAGGANNNNNNNNNNNNNNNNNNNNNNNNNNNNNNNNNNNNNNNNNNNNCUUUCACAAAGCACAUGCCUUGAUAAAGUUUUGAAGAGGUUCAAAAUGGAACAGUCCAAGAAAGGGUUCUUGCCAGUUCUACAAGGUACGAGAUUGAGUAAGACUCAGUGCCCAGCAACUGAUGAAGAUAGAGAGCAUAUGCGCUCCGUCCCCUAUGCUUUAGCCAUAGGUUCUAUCAUGUAUGCGAUGUUGUGCACUAGACCGGAUGUUAGCCUGGCCAUAAGUAUGGCAGGUAGGUUCCAGAGUAAUCCAGGAGUGGAUCACUCGACAGCGGUCAAGAAUAUCCUGAAGUACCUGAAAAGGACUAAGGAGAUGUUUCUCGUGUAUGGAGGUGACGAAGAGCUCGCCGUAAAAGGUUACGUCGAUGCAAGCUUUGACACAGAUCCGGACGACUCUAAGUCGCAAACCGGAUACGUAUUUAUUCUUAAUGGGGGUGCNNNNNNNNNNNNNNNNNNNNNNNNNNNNNNNNNNNNNNNNNNNNNNNNNNNNNNNNNNNNNNNNNNNNNNNNNNNNNNNNNNNNNNNNNNNNNNNNNNNNNNNNNNNNNNNNNNNNNNNNNNNNNNNNNNNNNNNNNNNUUCUUAAUGGGGGUGCAGUAAGUUGGUGCAGUUCCAAGCAAAGCGUUGUAGCAGAUUCUACAUGUGAAGCGGAGUACAUGGCUGCUUCGGAGGCGGCUAAGGAGGGUGUCUGGAUGAAGCAGUUCAUGACGGAUCUUGGAGUGGUGCCAAGCACACUGAAUCCAAUAACCUUGUUCUGUGACAACAGUGGUGCCAUUGCCUUAGCAAAGGAACCACGGUUUCACAAGAAGACCAGACACAUCAAACGACGCUUCAACCUCAUCCGCGACUACGUCGAGGGAGAGGACGUGAAUAUAUGCAAAGUGCACACGGAUCUGAAUGUAGCGGACCCGCUGACUAAACCUCUUCCACGGCCAAAACAUGAUCAACACCAAAACUGUAUGGGUGUUAGAUUUAUUACAAUGUAAUUCACAUGGUGAUGUGAGGGCUAGANNNNNNNNNNNNNNNNNNNNNNNNNNNNNNNNNNNNNNNNNNNNNNNNNNNNNNNNNNNNNNNNNNNNNNNNNNNNNNNNNNNNNNNNNNNNNNNNNNNNAGAUUAACGUGAUGCCUCGUUUGGUGUUCGGGAAUUAGUUUUCAUAUAAUUUAAAUAGAAAUAAUUAUGCAUAUAUAUAUAUAAGAUUAACUUAUCUUACAAGCGAGCAUAUAUAUACAAUUAUAUGGAGAUCUGAAUUAUCGGGACUAGAGCCCGUCUAUUCGAUUACAUGGACGAACAUCAGUAAUGGCCCCUAGCUACACUAAAUUGUCCUUUGUCAUCUAUAGCUUCCGUCCUCAGAAAGGUCGCAAGCUCCUUUGCAACAGCAAUCGCGCGUUGCUCUGGUAGGACCUUCGUCGUCAUGGCCGUGUGCUAUAUAAGAAGAGGAGAUGAAUAUGAAUAUCAAUCAUGAUAACAAAGAAUGACGGGUAAAAAUAGAGGUGUGAAUGUUCAUUGCUUACGUCGAAUCUGUGAUCCUUGUGCUCACACGUAAACGUGCGAAUGGUCUCGCAAACAUAGUAUCCGCAUAGAUGCGUUCCCCGUGGCUGCUGGUCGCACUUUACGAGAAUAGAAUAUAUAUAAUCAAAAUAAUAAUCUAGCAUCAUAAAUGUAUUGAAAAUAGAAGUAUAUCAUACUACUACUUACCUGAGCCGCUCUAAAGGUCAGCUUCUCAGGAAAGUUACCGGGAGUCACGCACUUGAACCGCUUCCAAACCCUGCCCGACAAGGAUAAUGAUUUGCUAAGUUUUUCAUUAAUUGAUAUAUCAGAAAAUCAUCGAAAGAGACCGAUAGAGUGCAAGAAUGAUUGAAAUUACCCUUGGAGCAUGUCCUGCAGGCUUUGGAACUGUUCCAAGGGUCUCGAUAAUGGGUCGAAGGCAUCAACUCUUCCCUUAUCAAUUUGAAUGUCCAACAGAAUCCAAUGGAAGCUGCACAUGUAACUUAUCAAUUACACUUAUAAGUCAAUGGACACAACAGAGUAAAGACCCUCACCUGAAGUUGUAUGGAAACAGUAUGUGGUCACAGAAAUUUUGAUCUGUUAGAAACCUUAGAAGGUUUUCCUCCGUCUCCUUGGGAUAAUCACUUAGCGUCGCUAUAUGUAUUUUAUCUGGGUCAAUAAACCCAAUAUUUAGGAUGCUCUUACUUUUACAAUCCAGAAUCUUCAUUCUGCAUNNNNNNNNNNNNNNNNNNNNNNNNNNNNNNNNNNNNNNNNNNNNNNNNNNNNNNNNNNNNNNNNNNNNNNNNNNNNNNNNNNNNNNNNNNNNNNNNNNNNACGAUUCCUAAGCCACAGAGCACCCCAAAGCGCAAACGGUCGCCCCUCCCAAAGGUACGUCAUGCUAAUCUUCCUAUCGGACCUUAUGAUCGUACCCCCUUCCAUCACAGUCUGACUUACACCAUAAGCCUGAUGACUAUACACGCACAUUGCAGAAGGAAGUGAAAGAGAGCAGAUCACGUGCAAGCCCUCCACAUGACGUCGGCCAGCACAACACGAGUCCAUCUCGAUCACCGCCGCCGGACUUGGGUCGUCCGUCUCUGCCGCCGCCCGCUCCGGAUACUAAGAGGGAGCGUGCCACCAAGAACGCUCCGCCGACGAUUCCUAAGCCACAGAGCACCCCAAAGCGCAAACUGUCGCCCCUCCCAAAGGUACGUCAUGCUAAUCUUCCUAUAUCAGACCUUAUGACUUACACCAUAAGCCUGAUGACUAUACACGCACAUUGCAGAAGGAAGUGAAAAAGAGCAGAUCACGUGCAAGUGCAAGUGGGAGCAAAUCAAGUUCAACUACAAGCAAGAAAAAAUCAGACGUUCCUCAGCUUGGACAACAGGCCAAACAGUCGAUCCCACCCCUCAAGGUGUUAACCGAGAAUGUUCCCCCUUUCGGUGCAGGGGCUAGCUUUAGAAAGUGCAAAGGAGUUGGCGGCUGCAUGUGGUGUCUCGGUUGAAGAAUUGAUGUCUUCCCAAGACGACAAGAUACCCAAGGCUGUGGUAGCCCCUAAGCCACUGUUUGUCAUGGGUGAGCCUUUGGUCAGCAAAGAUGAUCUCCCAACAAAUAUGCAUUACUUGCAUCAAUGGUACUUAAGUGAAUCAAAGAAUGGGAGAACGAUGAUCGUGCUGAGUGUCCCACAGGAGUACUACAGCCGCCCCGAACAAAUCCAUAUCGACUUUGAUGAACUCUUCCAGAUGUACAAUGGCGACGCCCUCGACAAAUCGCUCAUGAGUUGCUAUUGUCUGUAAGUUUUUCAAUUCGUUGUCUACAUAUAACUUGUUAAGUUAUUUCAAUUCAUUGUCUAUAUAUAACUUGUACUCUAUAAUGCAGAAUGAAGAUUNNNNNNNNNNNNNNNNNNNNNNNNNNNNNNNNNNNNNNNNNNNNNNNNNNNNNNNNNNNNNNNNNNNNNNNNNNNNNNNNNNNNNNNNNNNNNNNNNNNNAGAGGGGACGUAAGAUGGAAGGCGUGCGAGCUGUGUGGGGGUGGGGGUGGGGUGGGGGGUUAAAAUCAAUUCUCCCCCGAGUCAAUCCCAAUCACGAAUUGCUUCGACGAGAUGCCGCCGUCCGCCCACCAACGCGAGAUUUGGGAGAGAUGGGGCCAACCACACGAGAAAACAGAACCGACGAUGGCCUUUACCCGACGAUGUGUACUGACGACGACCAGGGGAGGAUGGGGGGGGGAGUUUUAGCGAGGUCACUCUUGACCCACCUAAUCGGGGAGAGGACGCACAAGCUCCUUGCGUGUGAUAAUUCACUUGUCUUACUGUUGCCACAUUUUAUUACUUUGUUGUACUUUAGCUAGAUCUUAAUGAAUGAAAAAUUGAUUAUUUGCCACACUGCCCUCGACUGGUGCGGUCUAGGUCCACCCUCCGUUGACACAACACAUGACAACUGAUCAAACACACAAAUAAAGUGCGACAAAUGAUCUUACACAUUACAAACUAGACUAGAUCUCAGUUUACAAGGUAUUGCUCCCGGGGCUCAAAGUUUGAAGGGUGUGUGAAUUAGACUUCCUUGGACAAAUUUGUGAUUUUUGUGGGUUGACAAAUGUGUGAUGUACCAUAGUACAUGUGGGUACUAAACAUGUUGGGUGUUGGGACUCUUGGUUGCUGAAUCAUGACCCAUGAACCGCCCCAUGAAUCUUAACAACUGAAAGAUGCUCCUUAACGGGUGCGACCAUGUGCUGCCUCGAGCAAGCUCUACCAUGGCUUACCUGUUGGUCAACACAUAUUGCGCUGACCUUGUAGCCGCGGCUCACCCGGUGAUGUCAUGGCUUUUCUUUUGUUUUUUUUUCCUUCCAUUUUUGGUUCACACUUUUCCGUUAUUUUUCAUUUUCCUUACGUUUAGAAAUGUUCUAAAUAUAUAUUACAAUUUUUACAUGUUUGUUUUAAAACUAUAAUCUUUAUUUGUAAAUGUUACACAUGUAUAGAAAAAUGUUAUAUAUAUAAACUAAAAAUUAUACAACAUGAAUAAAUAUAGUGAAAUUGUUAAUCAUGUGUAUGAAAAAAUGUUAAUCAUGUGUAUCUAAAAAGUUUAUUCAUUAUGUGAAAAUGUUAGUGUAAUUAGAAAUAAAUAUGUUACAUUCAAACAAUGUUCACCAGUUUAAAAAAAAUGUGUUUGGAACAUUUUCAGAAAAGAUUGCAUAGUUCAGAAGAAUAUUUUGUCUAUUAGAAAACGACACAAUGUGUAUUUAAAAAUAGUUUAGCAUGUAUUUGAAUAUUUUUAAAAGCAAGUUUUUGUAAAAAUGUAUCUGAAAAGUGUGAAGCAUUUAGAAAAAAUAUCCAUAUGUAUACGAAAAAAUGUCUAACAUGUAUGAAAAAAAUAGACAUCAAAACAGAUAUUAGAAAAUGUUAGGCAUGUAUGUGAAAAUGUUAAACGUGUAUAAAAAUAUUCCUAUUGUAUAUUAAAAAUGUACAAUAUGUAUAAAAAAGUAGACGUGUGCUAUAAAAAAAGGAAAAACAGAAAAUAAAAUCAAUAAAACUGACAAAAAACAAAUAAUUAAAAAUACUAAAGAAACAAAAUAAAUACAAAGUAUAACAGAGAAAUAAAGAAAAUUAAAACAAAAAAACCUAACCAGAAAAAGAAAAAAAAUCCAAUGAAAUAACAAAUAAAUGAGAAUGAAAAACGUAGUAAACCGUACCUAUAUCGAUCGCUACGAGUCGCGUGCAGAAAUGGGUUGGCCUGCUACUGUCACUCAUAGGCAAUUACUAUUAGAAAUCAGUAUGAGUGACAUAUAACCCUGACUGCUCUUUACCUAUUGAGGUAAACUUGUCUUGAAUGUUCAAUGUAAUACCUGAACUGGUUCUAAAACAUGACAGAUGCGUGCAAAUACUUCCUAAUUUUAUAUGUAGACGUAUAGUGUGCUCACAUGUCACCAUAUUUAGCCAUGAAUCCUCAAAACACGUUAGCGACUCGGAAGGUGGGACGAAGAAGAAGGAGAAGGUGGGGCGGAGGAGGGGAGCUGCGAGCACGCCGCCGGCCAUGCGCCUCGAGGGACGAUAGGGUGGGAGGAGAAGGCGGCGUCGACGGUUUCGAUCUGUGAUCUGCCACCGGCGCCGCAACAGGGACGGGUGAUAGGAUUUGAGGUCACCCUAAUCCCUCGCCUCUUCUCGUGUCUCAUGAAGGACGACGACGGCGCGGGCAACGACGGACUCCUCCUGGUGGUGAAGGAGGAUGCCACGUUCCUCGAGGCAUCGAUGGGAUCCGUGAGGAACCAGUCGGCUUGACUCCUCGUACCCAGGUACUUACUGCCAAUAUCCCCCCUCAAAACACGUCGCGGCUUCCUAAUUUUAUAUGUAGACGUAUAGUGUGCUCACAUGUCACCAUAUUUAGCCCUCAAUCCUCAAAACACGCCGCACCAACCAGUAGACCAAUCUCAAUUAUGUGCAAACUCCAGCCCCUCAGUAAUGAAAUGUACAAUGAUAAGGCUUGUGGUGCUUAAACGGGCUACAGCCAGUGGCCCAAUUAGCUUGUAUUAUUUAUUUUAAAGAUAUGUAAAACGUCUCUAAAUUAUAGUCACAAUAAUAAAAGUUAGUUUCAAAUAGCAUGUAUUAUUAAUAGCUAACUCAUGUAUAGAAAUCUUUGUAUUCACUAAAAAUUCAAAAAUUAUUUAAUGAACAUUCUUAUAUAAUCGGUGUAUGUUUAUUUUAAAUAUUUUUAUUUACUAAAUAUUUUUAAACAAUCAUGGUCUAUAUUUAACAUAGUAUUUUCUCUAUAACAAGUGAAUAUUUCUAAAAAAUACAGGAACAUUUUUAGUAAAUUAUUUUAUUACAAACCUCUAUAUAUUUAUAUUUGUUUGCAGAUGUAUAUUAGUGUAAAAUGAGGUUAUAUUAUUUAUGUGCCACAAAUAUUUAUUAACCGAUUGAGUGGGACGAGGCAUAGUUUAUAGUUUUUUUAAAAAACAAUGUAUGCACACAAGUAUUUGUAUACCACAAGUUAAUUAUUAAUAACAAAUGAAUAUUUGUGUACCACAAGGUAAUUAUUGAUAACGCACUAAUAUUUGAAUUUAGCUAUUAUUAUUUUCAUUAUAAUUUAGAGAUUUUUUUUCUUUUUAAGUCAACGUGUGCUAAAUGGGCUAUUGGAUGUAGUAUUUUAUAUGUCUAUAAAUGUUUUUAUCACUGUACUUGCAUGCGCCAGCCAAAUUUUAGAACUAGUUUAACGUAUUUUUUAAGUUUAGACACUAGACUUGAACAUCUAAGGCAAGUUUAAGCAUCAUCGAUGUAAUUAUCUCUUUACUAUUAUCAGAGGUUAUUCGAAAGAAAAACUAUUGCCAAAGGCCCCCUCUAAACAAAUUUUAUUAGAGGCUAGAGGGGAGACGCGGUGGAGGCGAAGGAGGUCCUAGGACGGCGUCUAUGGUUCUCUGCCCGAUGGAGUCGCCCUAGGACUGCGCAGGGCCGGCGGGGGUGGUUGCCAAGUUUGUGUUCCGAGCUGCUCUUUGAAGAAUUGGAGGAUAUGAUUUCAUGUCUUGGCUUUGCGAGCUGCAUUGGCUCCAACCCCAAUCGAAUUGAUCUUCACUUGUUUUUGCAAGUGAAUCGCUGGUUGACCUUGGGUGCAGCUGUGCAGGGUAAUCGAGAAGCCUGCCGACAAUGAGAUCGCAUCGCCACACCGACUUCAGUUUCCCCUGACAAAGCUGAUCAGCGAAAUAUAUAGUGUCAGACUAAUCGCAUCUCCAUGCAAGUUUAAAAGAUACGUAUCAGCCCAGAAAUUAAGAGAUGUGUCUACAAAAUCUCCCAUAAUCUUCAGUGGCUCCGUAUAACCCAGCUCUAUAUAAGUAGCCCAAGCGCUUCUGAUCAUCACACUCACCCAUCUAUCUUACAUUCUUACUUCUUCCAUUGUAGCUUAGCCAUUUGGCAUCACCUCGCCAUGGGCGCUAACAAGCUGGUCUUGUCCGUUGCCAUCGUCGUCCUCCUAAGCAUAGGGCUGUCCAGAGCCAUUAGGGUGGUGAACCACGCCGCCACCGCCGACGGCCAAGGCAGCGGGGGUGGAGGCGGCGGCGGGACCGGCAAUAGCCAGGCCUCUGGCUACGGGUCCGGUCACGGGACGUCCGAGGCGUACGACCAGAACAGCUACGUCUAUGGCACCGGAGGAGGCCGCGGCGGCGGCAGCUGGCAAGGCAGAGAGAAGUCUGCGGCUGGCUACGGAGCUGGCGGCGCGUCCGGCUCGGGCCACGGCGACGCGAGCAACACGGAUGCCGGCGGUUCCUCUACGAACGCGAAUGGCCAAGGCGGCGGUGGUGGCUCCGGAGGGAGCGCCGGGGAGGGCAGCGGCUCCGGCUCCGGCGACGGAAGCGGGUCAGGGAUAAGUGAUACCUAUGGACCAGCCGGUUCGAGCUACGCCAACAGCGGAGGGGGCGGAGGUGGCGACGCCGGCGGUAGCAACGAUGGGUUUGCCAGUGGUUCUGGAGGUGGAUCAGGGAGCAGCGGCGGUGAAUCAACACCUUAAUUAGCUACAGGCGAGCUCAUUUCACUUGGCUCCAAAUAAUACUAGCUCUGGCCACUGCACACUGUUGUUCUAUUAUGUUAUGUCUAGUGUGUCAACGUAUGACAGGUAUUAUAUGCUUCUUGGGAUAAUGUUUAUGGUGUAAUAUUUGGCUUUUCUAGUACUAAAAGACAGGCCAAUGGUCUUGUCUCUGAAUGACAUAAUGGUAUUGUACUGAAUAAAUUCAUAGCUAAUAUAACCCCGAGUCCCAAAAACGCUUACAUGAGAGAUGGUACCUACACUUCCGAACUCGAUUUGGAAUAAUAUAAUCUAAUUAUAUUUUGAAAAUAAUUAAUAAUCAGAAACGAUUUUUCGUCCAACAUGACUGGGAUUCGGCGGAUGUUGAUGGACGUUCACCUCUCUGAUGAGCCAGAUACUAUUGCCGGAAAAAGGGUUCCUCCUGCUUUGUAUUACAAAGCAACCAACCGAUAUAACUAAAGAUAGGUGCUGGGACAGAAGCAGCACAAUCACAUUCAAAAAAAAGAGAAAAAAAUAGAAACAAAUGCUGACAACGGCGGAUCCACACAAACGAACAAGCUUCGCGACCACUGAACAAGCUUCGCGACCACUGCGCCCACCAAAGAUCUCCCACCAAGCUCCAAGGCUCCGAAGCGCAGGAACCAAUCAACACCUCCAAGAAGGACCGCGACGAUGACGACGCUGCUGCCAAGGGUUUCACUCGGUACACAACGAGGCGAGAAGAAGGGUAGCCCCCGACGCCCUCCAGGAAGGUCCGGCGGCACCCGCAGGCACCACCGCGUUGGUGUCGGCCAGGCCGACAGGGGUUUCCCUCGAUCCCAACAUUCACCUCGGAUGCGUCGGAGCGUGCCACCAAACCAACCACAAUAUUGCGCCAAUGCGGUCUUGAAGCCGCCAUGCCGUCUCACCACGACACUGCGAAGUGAGGCCUGCACAUUCGACGAAUAGGAGCCGGGACUAGGGGCAGCAACACCAUUAGCACGCGGGAGGGCUCAACCUCCACCGUCAACGACGAUAGCCGAUCGGACACAAUAGCAAGAUAUACCAAGCCCGUGGGCCCACAGGCCCGACCGAGCCCUCCACGCCCGUAAAGCUCCCCCCAUCGCGCUGCAGCAGGCACGCCGACGGUGCCGCCGCCCCCCGUUCGAGCUGCUAAGUCAUGCCGAAGGCCGACCCGCUAGGACCCAAAUGGGUCCCGCGCCACCACGCCAUCCCUCGCCAAGGGGCCAUGCCACCACCACACGUGCUGCCAGCCAUCGCCGCCGGGUCAUNNNNNNNNNNNNNNNNNNNNNNNNNNNNNNNNNNNNNNNNNNNNNNNNNNNNNNNNNNNNNNNNNNNNNNNNNNNNNNNNNNNNNNNNNNNNNNNNNNNNGCGGCGGAAGGCCGGGUCGGAGAGGAGGCGGCGCCAGCGCUUGCAGACGAGGGAGGCGCGCGGGAGGGAGGACGGCUCCGGGGAGAGGCGGAGGAGGAUCUCCGACAGCAGGUCGUCGUUCUCCGCCACCGCCGACACCGACGCCGACGCCAUCUCGCCCUCGCCCUCCUUCCUUGCUCACACGGGGCGUGCGUGCGGUGCGGUGCGGGGUGUGCAGUGAGUCAAGCGCAGGUCCAAAGCGAGCGACGCUCGGGAGGAUAUCACGCGGCUGCUCAGAGCCCAUGAGGCCGUCACUAGAGGCCAGCCCAUGAGACCGUCACUAGAGGCCCAAACUGGCCUUCUAUUCCUUCCUUUCUCCACAGAGGUUGAAGCCCACACACGAACACACGCCGCACAAGUUGAAAUCAUCACUAAUCCUCUAGUUACCCCUAAAAAAUAAUCCUCCAUUUGAUUGUUUCAAAAUUAACUAAUACUCUAUUUGCCUAAAACGAAAAUCAUUAAUCCUCUAUAACACUAUGCUCAUUAAUUUUAAAGAGCCCACGUUUAAAUUGUGGUCUUCAACUAGAAUUCAGUCACUUGUCUUAAAAAAUUGAAAUUGGGUCACCCGAUUUGACCGGGUCAAUAAUAUCUCAAAACUCUCUUGUUUAAUUCUUUUAUACUCCUAUACACUAUGCUUUCUAACUCUUAAGGCCUCAUAAUUAAUUGAUGUCUUCAAUUCAGAAUUGAAUCAUUCGAUUUUGAUUGGCUCAACAAUUUUUCAAGGAGCACUUUGAUUCAGUUCUUUUAAUUUCAUAUACUCCUUAAUUUAGAAGAUCUUUAAUUCAAUUGAGGUUUUUAAUUUUAAAUUUUGUUACCAUUUUGACCCGACCAACAAAUUUUCAAAUCAACCAACAGCAACCGGCCUAUAAAAAUAUAUCAAUCGUGCACCCUCUCACCACCUAGAAAAAAGAGACACCAUCAUGUAAUAUUGUAGCAUUGAUAUAGUACAUGCAACCAUUGAAGCAAAAAUUUCCACACAUAAAUAUAUGUUGCUUUGUGGAUAGCACAGAGCCACACCAUGAAAGGCCCAUCAAAUCAGUGCAUUAUAAAAGAAAUACUCCAUCAUCUCCUCCGCCCGCCAAACUAAAUAUUUCAUCAGAUCCAAAAUAUAAUGCUAUGUUUGGAUGCAUGCAUUGAGGACCUUGGUAUUGAAUUGGCUCCAAUGUCGAACAUCCCAAGACAUUGGUAUUGAGCUUCAAUGCCACACAUUGUGUUUGGAUGGUUGUUUGUGACGCUUAUAGGAAUAGCUCAAUAGAUUGAUCGAAAAGUAUAGCUUUGAGGUGGUUCUAGUACCUACAACAAUUUCGUCUUAUGUUUCCGCAACUUAUGAACUUUGGAACGAUUCUUUGUCCCACGUUGAGGGAUGAUCAUAUGAUUCUAUUAUGUUACCAUUGUCGAGAGAUUGCACUAGUGAAAGUAUUACCCCUAUGUCUUAUUGUUGGAGAACGUCGCAUUGGAAACAAAAAAAAUCCUACGUGCACGAAGACCUAUCAUGGUGAUGUCCAUCUACGAGAGGAGAUUUGGAUCUACGUACCCUUGUAGAUCGCACAACAGGAAGCGUUAAGAAAUGCGGUCGAUGUAGUGGAACGUUCCGCGAUUCAGAUCGUCGUAGUCGUACUAUCUCAUCGCGAUCUGUCCCGCGAACUUCAUCAUGAUCCGUCCCGCGAACUUCAUCACGAUUCGUCCCGCGAACUUCAUCACGAUUCGUCCCGCGAACUUCAUCACGAUCCAUCCCGCGAACUUCAUCACGAUCCGUCCCACGAACUUCAUCACGAUCCUUCCCGAUCUAGUGCCGAACGGACGGCACCUCCGCGUUCAGCACACGUACAGCUCGAUGACGAUCUCCACCUUCUUAAUCCAGCAAGAGGGGGCGGAGAGGUAGAAGAGUUCUCCGGCAGCGUGACGGCACGCCGGUGGUGGUGAUGAUCUACUCCGGCAGGGCUUCGCCUAAGCUCCGCAGAAAUACGAUCCAGAGGAAAAACUGCGUGGUAUAGGGUCGAACAGCACGUGGCAAAGUUGUGUCUCAAAAACCAUCAAUACCUCUAGUAUAUAUAGGAGGGAGGGAGGGGAGGAGGCAGCCUCAAACCCUCAAGGUUUGGCCGAAAUUGGAGGUGGAGGAGUCCUACUCCAAUGCUACUUGGAGUAGGAUUCCACCUUCCCACUUGGAAACUCUUUCCAUCUUGUGUUUUUUUCCUUCUCAAACCUUAUGGGCCUUGGUGCGAACUUAUUCCAGCCCACUAGGGGCUGGUUUAUCUCUUCCCAUAGCCCAUGAGACCCCUUGGGGCGUGACACCCCUCCCGAUGGUCCCCGGCACUCCCGGUACACUACCGAUGAGCUCGAAAUUUUUCCGGUGACCAAAACAGGACUUCCUAUAUAUCAAUCUUUACCUCCGGACCAUUCUGGAGCUCCUCGUGACGUCCGCCUGCCCGCGCGACGCCCCUCCACCUCGAGCAGGCCAGUGAGUUAUAUGAUCUCAUGGUCAUAGGAACAAAUACUUGACACGCAGAAUGUUGGAAUUAUGCCCUAGAGGCAAUAAUAAAUAUAGUUAUUAUUCUAAUUCCUGUAUCAAGAUAAUCGUUUAUUAUCCAUGCUAUAAUUGUAUNNNNNNNNNNNNNNNNNNNNNNNNNNNNNNNNNNNNNNNNNNNNNNNNNNNNNNNNNNNNNNNNNNNNNNNNNNNNNNNNNNNNNNNNNNNNNNNNNNNNCCACUGCCUUGGCCGUCGGCUGUGGCGGCGUGGUUUACUACCCUAAUGGCGCUGGACAGCCCUACGCUUAGCAGGACGAGGAGGGCAACUGAUAGGAUCAGCUUGGUGGUAGCCAUGGCGAGGCGAUGCUAGAUUGCUGCAGCAGAAGAAGCAAGCUAGCUUGAUGAAGUGAGUGAUGAUCGAUCGGGAGCCCGUUACGUGGUAAUUUAUAGCCCCGGGUUAUGGUUUUAAAUUAGCAUGCAUGUUGAGCGUGCGUGAUUAUUAUUACCCACUGAAGAUUAUGGAAGAUUUUGCUGAGUUGGGCCUAUUAAUUACUGGGCUGAUACGUAUCUUUUGCAUCUAAGUGCGAUUGGUGUGACGCUAUCUUUCAGGUGAUCAGCCUUGUCAGGAGGGAAUUGAAGUCGCUGUAAUAUAAGCACUGUCAUCGGCCUCUUGAUCGAUCACCUGUAGUACGUUCCUCACUUCCACUCAAGUCGCAAAACAAGUGAACGUUAAUUCGAUCAUCAACAAAGGAGUACUCAACAAAGGAGAUGCGCAACCGAAACCGCAAAACAUAGCCCCCAUCCAGCUGCCGACAAGAGUAAGAACUAACAUAAAAUCGAAAUAAGUAAGGAGUAGUUAAGAAACACACCCCUAUCCCUCGCAAAACACACACACCCACACCACUAUCUCAUACUAUAUGAUGUAACGGUUCUUUAUAUUACUCCCUCCGUAUCACAAUAUAUGACGUUUUAGGAGUUCGUUUGAGCUGCUAGAACAUCAUAUAUUAUGAGACAGAGGUAGUACUACCUAUCAAUGAAAAGAUACACAAUUCUUUGGUUAUUGACGAAACUUAGCGACUUUUCUAGGCCAUAACCCAACCACCAGGAGGCCCAAUAUCCAACUUGUUUGGUACCCACAUGUACACGGUACAUCACAUAUUUGCGCAAGCAAGUCCAGUUCCCACCAACCAUGAGCUCUGAGGCCUGGUCUAGUUUGUACCGCAAAGUUAUUACAUAUGUCUACAUUACAAAAAGGUGAUCAGAUCUGGCUAUAGUAAGAAAGAAUAGGUAUCAUCUCAUUUUUGUGAAAUGUCGGAGUACAUGGAAUGCCGAGCUAACUAAACAUAUUUUUCAUCCAUUCAGUGUUCAAGAAAUAUGCAAUACAUGGUUCAAUGUGUCUAUGGAUGCUACUGUUGCGGGUGACCAAACUAGAGAUAUAUAUACUCGUUUACGAUGAAGGGGUACUUUGAUGCACAAAAAAAAACAAGAGUGGAAUUGAGCGCACUGAUAGAUCUCUUCGUUCAUGGUGGUCGACGAUAAACAGAGAUUGUCUAAAGUGGUCGGCGACAGUGACAUCGGUUGACAAGAUAAACCCAAGUGGAACAAAUGAUAGAGAUAGGGUAAGUGCAAUUUCUUUAUAUUCCAUGUUCAUGCUUCAUCUUUUGUGUUUGAAGAGGUAAAUUAUUCUUCAGUUCAACCUUUGUUGGGAUGCAUGGGAGUUAUCAUGGGAAGCAUGGGAUCUACCAUGGGAGGCUUCAAAGGCAUGGGAGGGGGGCUUCGGAGUCAUGAGAGCUACCAUGGUAGGCUUCAGAGCUAUCAUGGGUGGCUUGGGAGCUACCAUAGGAGGCGUGGAAGCUAUCAUGGAUUGCAUGGGAGGCAUGAGAGCUAUCAUGGGCGGCAUCAGAGGCAUGGGAGCACGUACGAGAGGCAUAAGUUUUGCAUCUCUCAUGGAAGGCAUGGGAGCACCUCGCAUGAUGUCUCACAUGCCCUCGCAUGAUGCCUCACAUGCCUUUGAGGAUAAUGCGAACAACGUACGAGGUUUAAAUGACACUGAGGUGUCUGAAGAUGAUGAAGAGGAGGAGCACGAGAAGGAAGAAGAGGAGAAAGAAGAUGGAGCAUGAUUCUUGAUGUUUCAUUCGUUUGUGUGAACUUAUUUGUCAUGAAUUGUUUGUGGUUAGAUAAAUUUGAACUAUGCUAUCUUGUUCAACUCAUCAUUAAUUUUGCAAAUUUAAAUGUUCAAGACCAUGUUAUUUAAAUUGUCAAAAAAUGAUAUGUGAUAUUUCAUAUGUGCCAAGCCGCGGCUGGGCGCGUGUGCUGUAUUUUAGCACGUCUGGUGAAGCGCUACUGCGACGUCCUAAGUUUUGCAGCACCUGCUAAGCUAUCACAUGUUCGCACGUGCUAAAACGCUAUUUCAGCGUCUAAAUUUUCUUUUAGCACGCCGCGCUGGAAAUGCUAUUAGUCUCUUUUUUCCAGAGAGGAAGGUAGUCUCUGCUAAUGUUCAAUUUGAUAAAACUAUGGGGUUUCCCAACUGAUAAACCUGUAAAUUUAUUUUGUUUUUGUUUUUCACCAGUGGAAGCAUAUUUGAGUUUUGCCUUCGUACAUCCCCUUUAAACAUUACACGAAUUUGAAAGUUACUUAAAGAGAUUAUCACCAUAUUAGCCUGCAAAUUCAAUGUAUUGAAUAUAAAUUUUGAUACAAAAGACUAUAUUAUCCUUUUUGAUUGAAAAAUGAUAACUUCUAAUCCCCACCUCUCGUAUUCGAGAGAGGGAAAAAGAUCCUUACGCCUAAUUGGGGUGUACCAAAGCAAACACUAGUAGAAAAAAGGGCUUUCGUCCCGGCUCGAUUUACACAUUAGUCCUGGUUCCAUUAUGAACCAGGACUAAUGUUAGCAUUAGUCCCGGUUCGAGUAGCAAGGACGCCGGUCAGGCAUUAGUCCCGGUUCAAAUGGGACCUUUACUCCUGGUUCGUGUCUUGACCGGGACUAAAGGGUUUGGAGGCUUUAGUCCCGGUUCGUGUCUUGAACUGGGACUAAAGGGUAGAUCUUUCGUCCCGGUUCGAGACACGAACCGGGACUAAAGUUUUUUUUCUAUUUUUAAAUUUUUUUUUUUUGUAGUUUCUGUUUUGAAUUGGUUAUAUCUUUUAGGAUAUUUAAUGUUUUUGAGUGAUUCUUUUUGCAUUAGAUUCAAAAUUUUGUCUAGUUUCUAUUUGUGUCAUUAGUUUUCGAAUUUGAAUUUGUUCAAAUUUGCUUCAAACCCAAAUUGUGAAUAACUUGAAUUUACAAAUCGUUUUUUAAUUUAAUUAUUUUUGCUCCUAGUCAUCUGUUAUAUUGUUGUCACAGUAAGAUUUAUUUGGUUAUUUUUCGAAUACUUUAAAUUAGGAUUUUAAUUAAAACAAUACUGUUUUGCUUAUAUAGUUGUUUUAGUCAUUUAAUUGAUGUUUUUUAUUAUUUUUAGUUAGUUCUUUCUGUAGAUUUUAACAUGUUAUAGUAUGGUGCAUAUUGAAUGCAUAAAAAGUAUGUAGUUAAAAUAAUUUUAAUAAAAUGCCUUUGUAGCUGAUGGGUUUUCGUUCGAAAACUUUAUACUUCGAAGGAGAUGAUCCAGUUUGUACACGAUGUGCGUCCAGUUUUUGUCGUAACUCUCUCAACUUUUUAGCACAUGUCAUGUGGGUGAAAUGAUGAUACCAUGCAAACUUUCAACCUUUUGAGAGUUCAUUUGUAGUGCUUUUCAAUUUCAGGGUCAAUUAGCUCACAAAAAAUAAGUAAAUGCAUAAAAAAAAUACCAAAUGAAGUCAGAAAAUGUUGAAAAUUUAUGAUGUGGCUUUAAAUGGUGUAUUUUGAACACACAAAAAGUAUGGAGUUCAAAUAAGUUCAAAAAAAUGAAAUCCCUCUGCAAGAGAUGAGUUUUCGUUCGAAACCCUGAUACUUCGAAAGAGAUUGUCCAUUUUGUACACGAAGUGCAUUCAGUUUUUGUCAUAACCCUCUCAACUUUUUAGCACAUGCUAUGUGGGUGAAAUGAUGAUAUCAUGCCAAGUUUCAACCUUUUCAGAGUUCAUUAUUAAAUGCAUGAAAAUAGCAAAUGAAGUUAUAAAUGAUGAUGAUAUUAAAUGCAUGAAAAUAGCAAAUGAAGUUAUAAAUGGUUAAAAUUUUAGGAUGUUGUUUUGAAUGGUGCAUAUUUAAUGCACAAAAUGCAAAAAACAUAUGGAGUUGAAAUAAGUAAAAAAAAAUGCCUUUGUAGCAGAUGGGUUUUCGUGCGAAACCUUGAUACUUUGAAGGAGAUGGUCCAGUUUGUACACGAAGUGCAUCCAGUUUUUGACGUAACCCUCUCAACUUUUUAGCACAAGCUAUGUGGAUGAAAUGAUGAUACCAUGCCAAGUUUCAGCAUUUUCAGAGUUCAUUAUACUGCUUUUCAAUUUCAGGGUCAUUUAACUCAGCAUAGCAAAUAAAGUUAUAAAGGGUUAACUUUGGCUUGGUUAACCUUAGUUGUGACUCUGGUGGGGACGGUGCUAGCAGAUGUAGUCCACGAGUAUGAUUGGACCCUUGGCUAAAAGGGGAUUCUGAAAUUUUCAAACUCUACCCCCCCCCAUGGACCGUCUUUUUUAGUUUUGUAGAAAAUAAACAAAAAUAAUAAAAUCUUCAAAAAAUAAAAUCCUUUGAGAUGUAGUUAGCUUUUAGUGUCUAGUUGGUAUAGAAAUUUUGAGAUAUGAAUUUUGACCUUUUUGCAAAAAAGGAAAAAAUAUAUAAAACGGUCAUAACGUUUGCAUACGACGUGAAAAAAAAGGUUUAAUAUAUCAAAAAAAAAACUAGAGAAAAAUUGGGACUCGAUUUCUUUUUUUUUUGCCUGGUGAAGUUUUCUCAGAUGCUCAAAAUUCCAAAUGUAAAAAGGUUAUUUCAAAAAGAAGUUUUUCCAGAAAAAUAAGAAAAAAUAAUUUUAUUUAAAAAUAUUAUGUUGUUUUCAUUGAAAUUCAUUAUUAUUAUUACCUACAUAGUUUAUUUUAAUAAUUGUUUGAAUUUAAAAAAUUAAAUCAUGUGACAUGACAUCAAGACACGAGGUUGUUUAGGAUUGAUAGCUUACUAUUGUCAGGAAAACAACAAGUGCAGACUUGGCAACUAGGGGUGAUAGAACCAGAAAGUUAAGACGAUUUGGAAUGAGUGAUCCACGCUAGAGCAGUGAGGAUGGGUGAUUAGAGAUUAAAUUGUGAAAUAAUUCAAAGAUUUAAAAACUGAAAUAAAACAUAAAAUUAAUCAAAAAAAAUUAAAAAAAAAUUAAAAAACCUGUCUUUUCGGGUCAAACAAGCAAAAUAAACAGACGGAUUCUUUAGUCCCGGUUCGUAACUAGAACCGGGACUAAAGGUCCUCCCUCCCCCUCGCUCCCAGUCCCGCCACGUGGAGGGCCAUUAGUACCGGAUGAUUAGUCCCGGUUCCUGAACCCGGACUAAUAGCCCAAACGAACCGGGGCUAAAGGUACUUUUUCUACUAGUGAAAGUUAAACAUGCAUUUGUGCAACACAAACGGUAUUGAUAAUGGAUGGAAGCACCAAUUAUAUUUUUGUCGUGUAUAGAACCAUACUGCUCAUGUUCGCAAUUCACAUGAUGGAAAUGGUUGUUGGGACCGGUAAAGACAACAUCCCUUUGUAAUAUAUUCACAUGAUGAAUUGUGUUGAAGGGACUAGUUCCACGCCUUAUCAAGCUAGCUUCCUCGUGCUUCGUGGAAAUCAUAGACGAGUUACACGCCUGAUCAAGCUAGCUCCUCGCCGGUGCUAUGGCACACAUGGGGUGGUGGGACAUUCGACGACACUGGAACAUCAUAGGCAUGUACGGGAAACAAAGAAGCAUUCGGUCUAGCAGAAGAAAACGUCUGUAAAAUAGAUAUUGCUAAAGUGUAUUUCUGGAUUGCCUGGUCCCUUUCAUGAGUUAUGUUGCUGCUCCCCCUACUGCCACUGUUGGUGCUUGCGUUAUGAUGUUGUUUUGCCUACUCCCGCUGGUGGUGUUGUUGUUCCUAAUUGGGCCUGGUCACUACCGAAUAUACAUUGACGAAAAAGGAUUUUUCUUCGUUUUGUAUUAUUAUUAAGCAACCGCAUCAAGCAUCCAACAGUAUCAGAAGUUUAGUCGAAAGAAAGGUAAUAGUCAUGACAACAAGAAAGCAAAACAAGUCUAGCUAGGAGCACAACACAGCAAACCCCUAUGAAAGAGCUGCAUGGCUAAUCCGUCUCAGGAGGUGGUGGCGGAGACGCUGGCGGGAUGGAGAUCGUCCGGGAGCGGAGGCCGGAGGUGACGACGUCGAUGAAACCCUACUGCCAUCACUUGCUACGUGGCCGCCAUAGCUGCAAGAAGCGUUGUGGAAUCACAUGCUCGAUUACUAAUUUAUUUCACACAUUCCACAGCGUCCAGUACGGCACCUAUAGCCACCCAUAUGGAUGGGCGGGUCUCACAUGGGGAGUUAAGGACCUCGCUAAAUAAGUCCGGAAGGUUAUCAUGGAACUAGUUACCGCCCACUACAUCCUGGGGGCAUCUCAAAGGAAGACCAUAGUCGGACACCGAAAGAAGAUGUGGUUGGUGUCCUCGGACACCCCGCGAAGUUGAUACGUUUUCGCACACAACAGGACGCAGUGGCAACUAUCUAGAGAAGAACAAUGCAAGAAAACCGAAGUCUCAUGGUCAGGUAUGUUAACAUCAUACACAUGAUUAAUAAACUAUCUACUGAAUUCAUUCACCAUGGGGAUGUAGCUCAGAUGGUAGAGCGCUCGCUUAGCAUGCGAGAGGUAUGGGGAUCGAUACCCCACUUCUCCAAUCUCAUUUUUUUUAUUUUCUGCAUAUCCCAAUAUUAUAUACUGUUGAAAAAAAAGACUAUCUUAACUUCACUUACGUAUUCCAAAUCUCCCCAUAAAUGCGCAAAUUCCUUCUACAUGUAAAAGAAUCUCAUUUUUUUUUAUUUUCUGCAUAUCCCAAUAUUAUAUACUGUUGAAAAAAAGACUAUCUUAACUUCACUUACGUAUUCCAAAUCUCCCCAUANNNNNNNNNNUGCAGCACUGUCUUAACUUCACUUACGUAUUCCAAAUCUCCCCAUAAAUGCGCAAAUUCCUUCUACAUGUAAAAGGGAAAUCAGAAAGCUUGCGCACAAUCUGUGCUGCAAACUGAGGCGCAAUAGUAAUCACAUGGCAAGAGUAAAAUGUCACCAUCAUGAUUUUAUUAAGGUAAAUUUUUACAUCCGGCACACCGGCCAAACUUUGAGUCGGAUGCGUGCGGGGUGUUCGACCGCUCUAUCGUGCGGGCAUCCAGCGACGGAGGCACCCCUCAUGGAUAUAAAACUAGGCGAUGGGACCACUCUGCCUCCAAUUGUUUUUCCUUCAUCUUCUUCUUCCUCAUGAAACGGACCCCAAGGGCACUUGCACCACCAGGCCCCGGCCACACCAUCAGCACGCAAGUCUCCGGCCACAAGGUUUCAAAAUGUCUAUCGUCGAGGUCGCAGCUUUCCGUCACCGUACCGCUCGUAGCACGCGGUCACCACAGUGGUAGCAAAAAGCGCACCGCUUAUAGCAAAUCGUUGUCGCCGCGGUCACCCACGUCACCGCUCGUCGUACGUCGGUUGCACCACCGCACACUGGUUACAACAAACUCAGUCGCUGGUGGUAGCUUUUCUCAUUGUCGUUUGCAACAAAUUCGUAACCAGUCAUUGCCGGCCACACUUCAUCAUCUCCCUGGUUGUAGCAAAAAUGGCCACUGGUUGUAGCUUUCUACGAUGCCCGUUGCAAUAAAAUCAUUGAUAAAAAGCUUCAACCAGUGUAUGAAAAGCUUCAACCAUUAAAAAAACUUUAACUUUUUUGCGGGGAAAAAGCUUCAAUUGCCAUGGAAAAAAGCUUCAGCCCAUGAAAAUAGUUUCAACCAUCGUGAAAAAAGCUUCAAGCGAUAUAAAAAAGCUUCAACGGAUAUGGCAUGCCGACGAUGUUGCGAGCAACGAGACCGGGGAGCUAUGGGCCGACGGCAUGACAGUGCUGCAUCACCACCGAGCAACAACCUGUCGCCACGUGGAGCGGCAAUGAGAAGGUGCAACUGUGGCAUGGGUGGAGCCGGGGACGAGGGCGACAACAGGCGACGAGGACGGCCGGCCAUGACACCGACCGGCGACGAGGACAUCACGGUGGUGCUUCAAGCUCAGUCGCUUUCUUGCAGGGGUAUGGCGGGGUGUCCGCGGCAUUCAUGCCGUUGUAAUUCUUCCUGCGGAAGACGACUCGCAAGAAGGACGAAGCGGGGGGACAAACCUAACGAACAAAAAUCGCUGCAUCGGAGGGUUGGGACUCGACCUCCUAAUUGUUAAGCCGGCGCACCGGCGGCUAGUGUUGCCCUUUUAUUAACCAUCUGUACUGUAGAAAAAAGAAAAAGUAAAAUGAUAUCCGAAGUCACGGUUAGAACAUUCCAGAAAAGAAGAGAAAAAAACUCAUCUACAGCCAACCAAAUUUGUCCGGUCAAUCAAGUCUCACCAAUUAAUGCAAAAAAGAUAGAAUAAAAUUUUUUCGUACACCUAACCAUAAACCUCCAUGGCAUCUACCUUCCUUCCAAUAGUGUGUGUGCGCGUGCACGCGUGUGAUAGAAAAUGCAAAAUAGUUAUCCGACUCGAUCAAGCUUGACUUACCAAAAAAUUUAAAAUAAUUUAAAAUAUAAAAUAAUAUCAUGAUUUUUGUACAUCAGACAUAUAUAUGUGUGAAUUAUAUAAAUAUUUGUAAUGCAUAUUUUUAUUUUUGGCUACACAGAAAACAAAUAUGUGGACGAUUGCACCUACAAUUUGCUAUUGUGGAUCCGCCUUUUGUAGCGUAAAAGGCUCGCGUGGCGGUGUGUCCUUUAUCCUAUAAUUGAUACAUCGGAAUCUCUGGUAUAUGGCAUCGUACGUUGCAUCAAUUUUAUCUUCUUUAUUUUUUGCAACUUUGGUGCAAUUUGUUCAGUCGAUGCAUCUCUCGUAAGUGUAGGCUUCUUCUGAUUAUGGCUUCGCCUGCUGCUGACUUCAACCACCACCUCCUUUCUUGUUUCAUCAACACAUGCUUCUAUGAAAAAAGAAAAAGAAAAGCAGAAAGAACUAGUGAGUAAUAAUUUUGAAUCAUGGAUGUGCUAAGUUUCAAAAAGAGAGGAGGAUAUGUUGCGUAACAAAAAGUUGUGGGAAUGACUUAUACAAAUCUGCGGGGUCUGUUGAUAUUGGGGGACAUGUUGUGAGAGGAGUCACAUCAUAAACAGGACUAGCUGAAGUGGCAGGAGAAUGAUCAAACAAAGGGCUUCUCGCUUGAAUCAACAAGAAAGAGUCCAAAUCCAAACCAGAUGAUCGUAUAGGUGAAACUUGUGGUGGCUCCUGAAACAGUAAAGCAUUGUCAUUCACGGGUUCAAACUAGCCAAAUGAAGAGCCAUCUUCAAGUGUCCCUUUUUUUUUGCGAGACCAUCUUCAAGUGUCCCUGGCCUCCUAAUAAAAUUCAUGCAUGCCGGAUUGGGCUACGAGCACUAGUAGAAAACAGGGCUUUGAUUCUCACCAGAUCAAAGCAUUAGUCCUGGUUCAAGUGGCUAGGACGCCGGCCGGACCUCGGCACGCAUUAGUCCCGGUUCGAUUGGGACCUUUAGUUCCGGUUCCAGACACCAACUGGGACUAAAAGGCCUCGCUCCUGGCGCAAUUCCUUUAGUCCCAGUUGGUGUCUCCAAAUGGGACUAAAGGUCUGUCUUCAGUCUCGGUUUUAGACACAAACUGAGACUAAAAAGAUGCCUAUAUAUAUAUCCUCACCCCUGCUCUCCUUUCAUCUAUUUUUUUGGCCGUAGAAGGUGGGAGGUGUGUGUGCUGCUCUGUUCUGCCUUCCUACGCACAUGAGGUAUUCGAUGAAAUGCCCGAGUCAUAUUUAAGCUUUCUCCUCUGUUCUUCCUUCAAGCUCCAUUUUCCUCAAGAUUUUUCUAGAUUUUGCGGUGCACCAACUAUCCAAGUGUUCUAAAAGGUUAGCUCUUUUCAUAUGUUGUUUGUGACACUUACACCUGAGUAUUUAUUCCGCUGCGAGCUGUUCGUGACUUAGCAAUUUCCUCACAGGGAAAUUCCUCAGUGACGAAUUCAUAAAAAUCGUCUAUUCACCCCCCCCCCCCCNNNNNNNNNNNNNNNNNNNNNNNNNNNNNNNNNNNNNNNNNNNNNNNNNNNNNNNNNNNNNNNNNNNNNNNNNNNNNNNNNNNNNNNNNNNNNNNNNNNNNNNNNNNNNNNNNNNNNNNNUCUUCCACCAAGUAAUCCAACAAGCAUCAAUUAUAAGAUGUAAUCAACACAACUACUAACCCAAAGGUACCAAUCUGAGGUUUUGAGACAAAGAUUGAAUACAAGAGAUGUACUAGGGUUGCAUAUGAGAUGGUUCUAGUGAAUAUGAUGAUGAAGAUUAGUCCUCCCACUAAGAAGUAAGUGUUGGUGAUGAGGAUGGCUUCGAUUUCCCCCUCCUGGGGGGGAAUUCCCCCGGUGGAAUCUCCCUGUCGGAGAGCAAAAGGGCCUCCGCCUCGAGAUGGCAGCGCUUCGUCCUAAAAGGUUUCUUAUGAUUUUUUUUCUAGGUCAAAACACACCAUAUAGGAGAAGAGGAGUGACGGAGGACCUGCAGGGGCCCCACGAGCCAUCAGGACGCGCAUAGGGGGGUGGGCGCGCCCUGUUGGCUUGUGGCCAGCAGGUGGCCCCCUCUUGUUUAUUUUUUGCCCAAUAAUUAUUAAAUAUUCUACAAAAAUUCUCCAUGAAGUUUCAUAUCAUUUGGAGUCUGGUGAUUUUUCUCCCUUUUUCUCGGUUUCCCGGUAUACUUGUUUCGAGAUAUUUCCUGCUUUGUUAUGUUCCUUGCGUAUUUGAGCAUAAGAAUUGUAUGAUAAUGGGGAAUAAUUGACAAGAAUAACAUAAAUAUCCAUAAGGGGUCAUGAUGCGAAAUGGACGUAUCGGGCACAACGGCGCCGAGGCGCGCAGGUGCUCUGGCAGCGCGGGCAUGUGUAUUUACUGCGCGGGUGCCUGGGCCAUGGGGUGAGUGGUGAUGUGCGUGUUGGAGUUCUCGUCGCCGCGAGGCUGGGCUCAGGAGUGGGACGCAAGUCACGGGCGGAUCUCGUCGAUGGUUCGAUGGACGGGAGGCGGUGUGUGCUCUACUGGAUGGUAACUUGUUGUUGCGGAUGCUGCUGUGACGUGCAUAGAGGCCUUUGCCCUGGGUGGACCUCGCCCAGAACUAGAUCUUCUAGGCAGGUGGUGACGGCUGCCCCUCCGGGGGCAACCGGCCUUGUGAGGAUGGCCACUAGGGAUCUUAUCCCUGUGGGUGGCCUCCCUUGCACCGCGUCACGUCUUGCUCUCCCUAUCCUUGGUCGGUGAAAGGCUUUGUGGAUGGAUGGUUGUGGCCUGGUUCUUUGUUGGUAACGUGGUGGUUCGGCAAUGGUCGUAGGCGGUGGCUCAGGUCGCUGAUGCGAUCGUGGUUGUUGUGGCGGUGGCGGUUUGUGGUUGGUGGCAGGGUGCGGGUGGUGGAAGUGCCACACCUUCUCGUAGGUGAGAACUGAUGAUGUGUGGGUUACUUGUGCGUCGGGGAUGUUGACGACUUGGGGAUCGUGCUAGGGCAUGCCAGCUUUAAGCCUGAGAUGGGUUGGAUAUUUUGCUCCGGGUAGGUGGGGUAGGCGCAGUCUGGAUGGUGCUCGAGGGUUGUGCUCGUGUUAGCUUGUGUUAGUGCACUGAUCAACAUUGGUCACUAUGGACAUGGCGCCAUGUGAGUGCGCCUGGCCAAGGGCUCGGGGUUGGCUCGCCUGUGGCCGUCAGUAGUCUCGGAGUCGUGUCUCCCCUCCCCCAGUCCAUCGAGUAUUGGCUGAGGAUGCAAGUGUGGGUACCUCCUACAGUGGGGGCACCUAGCCAGACCCAGGGACUAAUGCCGGGCUAGGAGUAGAUGAGUGGCAUCGCUCUUUCCUGCUGCGGUUGAGUGUGUUGUGAUGUGGGCGACGCACAAUAUCUCACGACAGGGACGUCGGGGCGGCGGCUACGAAUGGUGGCCUGCAUGAUUGCUCUUCGGCGGGCAUCAUUGCGGUGGUACUAGUUGCUCCCCUCCCGGGUUGUGUGGACAACGGGAGGUUUUGCGAUGGGUAUCCCGGCUGUGCUUUCUCUUUUGAUUGGGUGGCAUCCUUAUCCAGAUCCAGGGAUACGGAUCUGGGGAUCUGACAUCAUCGCACUCCUCUUGGCGGCCACGUGGUGGCACGUGUGAGUUUUCGAGUGAAAGCUCUAUGCCUUGCGUCGAUGAUGGCAACACCCGAGGGUGUCGCGCUCUUCUUAAAUACGUCUGUGUGGUUCUUCUCUCUGUGUCACGGCUUUGGGUGAAGACCUUUGUCCAGUGUGGACACGACAGCGACGAUGCUAUGCGCCGUUCUCCCUCUUGGGGGCAUUGUCAUGGUGCUUAGGUGUGCUAGGUCGUAGUGUGUGGGUGCUUAAUUCUUUCGGUAAUCGUUGCCGGUAGCAUAGUCGCGUGUGUUUUGUGUGUGCGUGAUAUCUUAGAAUCGACUUUGUAAGAGGGCUACCACACCAUCUUGUAUUGUUCUGCUGUGUACUUUUUUAGUUAUUGCUUUAUCUAUAAAGCAGGACGAAAGCCAGUUUUGAGAGUACAUAGAUUUCACUCAGAAGAUUUAGUUCGUACAUAAUCUUCGAUGAAUAGUAUCUCGCUGGCCAGAUCCCCGAAAAGGCUAGGGUUCCUCUCCCGUCUCCCAUACCCCCCCNNNNNNNNNNNNNNNNNNNNNNNNNNNNNNNNNNNNNNNNNNNNNNNNNNNNNNNNNNNNNNNNNNNNNNNNNNNNNNNNNNNNNNNNNNNNNNNNNNNNGUAGAUGGACAUCACCAUGAUAGGUCUUCGUGCGCGUAGGAAAAUUUUCGUUUCCCAUGCGACGUUCCCCAACACAGAAACCUAUAGCAAUAAAACGACACAAUCAUUAUGCUACGUUCAUAGUUUGGGUCUUGUCCAUCACAUGAUUCUACUAAUGAUGUGAUCCCGUUAUCAAGUGACAACACUUGUCUAUGGUUAGGAAACCUUGACCAUCUUUGAUCAACGAGCUAGUCAACUAGAGGCUUACUAGGGACAGUGUGUUGCCUAUGUAUCCACACAUGUAUUUGAGUUUCCAAUCAAUACAAUUCUAGCAUGGAUAAUAAACGAUUAUUAUGAACAAGGAAAUAUAAUAAUAACUAAUUUAUUAUUGCCUCUAGGGCAUAUUUCCAACACUUAUUUCCAAGCACUGCAAUAUCUUUUAUGCUUACUUUUGUUACUUGCUACCUUGCUGUUUUUACAUUUUUAGAUUACAAAAACCUAUAUCUACUAUCCAUACUACACUUGUAUCUCCAUCGCUUUUGUCGAACUAGUGCAUCUAUAAAACUUGCCAUUGUAUUGGGUGUGUAGGGGACACAAGAGAUUUCUUGUAUUUGAUUGCAGGUUUGGUUGAGAGAGACCAUCUUCAUCCUACACCUCUCCCACGGAUUGAUAAACCUUAGGUCAUCCAUUUGAGGAAAAAUUGCUACUAUCCUCCAAAACUCUGCGCUUGGAGGGUCAACAAAGUCUAUAAGAAUAAAGUUGCAUAUUAGACAUCAGCACACUUUGAAUUCUCGCGGGGCCCCUAUGGGUCUUCUGGUACUCCCUCGAAGCUUCUUGGGCCCCGUAGUCAUCAUUUUCGACAUCAUUAUCGUGUGAAUCUGUUGAGGCGAUGAAGUCACUUAAUAGGAAUUCGUCAAGGUCAGAGUUUUAAUUGCCACCAUUCCAUAAUGAAUACAUUGGUGACCUAGAAAUAAUGAACCAAAGAACCAAAAUCCAGCUCCGACAUUUCAUCAAACACGUAGAGCGCGAGAUGUAUAUAAGGGGGGUUGGACAUACCGGGAUGGCGUCUAAUGGUGGGGAACUAAGGUGGGUGACGAUGUGGAUUGCGGCCUCCAUUUGGGGACGCCAGAUGGAGCAACGACGGGAACGGAACUCCAGUGACGGUUGUGCACACGAGGGCUAACAAAAGAUAAGAGGACUGGUGUGGCAAGAACGGAGAGGGGUGCAGAUAUGGGCGGAUUGACGCAUCCCUAGCGGUCAGUCCAACGCGGUGGGCGCGUCCGGGUGUUCCAUGCCCACCCUAGAUAUGUGACGGAUAUGGGGAGUACGAGUCAAUCCGGCGGUUUGAACCGAAUAUUUGGGAGCCUAGUUGGUGACAGUUUUUUGUCUAAAUACUGACCAGACAACUUGUCCAGAUGUUUGCGACAAAUAUGGAUCCUGAUAUACAUGCUUAGGGGUAUGUACAAAGGAAGCAUCACCUUCCUAGUGCCUCACCUCUUCCAUGUAAGAAAAAAUGGAUGGGGCACCAUUUUGUUUCUCAAACGCUCUAUACAUGAAGCUCUCCCAUCGGAUUCAUGUAUGUCAUAUGCAUCCUCUUUUAUCUGCGCUUUACAUGAACGGGAGGGCUAGCUAGUCACAUCUCUCUCUUUUUUGCCCCAUCUCUCUUAUUUUUGUCAGGCAAGAGACUACUUCUUCUACAAGAUGCCACUUUAGUCUUAGCACUAGGUUGAGCUUAGCAAAACAGUUUGAUAUGACGUAUUAUGCAGGGACAGCCAUCCACUGUGGAGCGUUGACCAUUCCCUAAGGUUGUUCAUAGUGGGGAGUAACAUAUAGUAGUAUCAUGCAUAUAUUACUAUUGUAUGCUACUACCUUCAGGCUCGUUGUAAUGGACAGUAUCAUAUAGUAGUAUCAUGCAUAUGAUACUAGUGUAUGAUACCACAACCGUAAUGCAUAGUAUCAUGUGUUAGUAUCAUAGAGUGAUUCAUUUAUUGCCAUGCAAGACAAAUAGUAGCACAUCAUUUAAUAUGAUGCGGUAUCAUAUGAUAUGAUACUCAACCCUCCCUUUCUUUAUUUAAUUGUAUGACACCUCAUCAAAAUUGCCUAGUUGACAUGCAUGAUACUAACUAUGAUACUCUAAUUACAGACAACCUCAUAGUGCAUUGUACUACCUUCGUCCAAGUAUAUAAGACAUACGCGUAGUUCUAGGUUAUAAAUUUAUCUAGCUAAAUAUAUAUUAUAUGUGAUAAAAAUUACAUAUUCAAAAACUACAUUCCCACAUGAAUCUAAUGGUAUAUUAUUUAUUAUAUAUAAUAUAUAUUUAGCUAGUUAAAUUGACAACCUAGAACUAAGUGCAUGCCCUAUACACUUGGGACGGAGGUAAUAUCAUAAACUAGUAUCAUAGGUGAUCUCAUUUAUUCACAUGCAUGACAUAUACUAGUAGCAUAUCAUUUAACAUGUUACAAUAUCUACUUAUGUUACUCUAACCCCCCCUCUCUUCUUUAAAUGUCCGCCACAUCAACAUGUUUGCUAUUCCCAAGUACAUGAUACUCCCUCCUUUCCGGUUUAUAUGGCUCAUCUCAAAAAAUUUAGAUUUCCAUUAUACUAGACUCAUUUUGAGUCUAAGUGAGUUAAAGUGCUUUGAGUCUCACGCCAUAUUUAAUUCAUAGAGUUUAGAAAAAGGAGAUGAGUGGCUAUGCAUGCAUCGUUUUCUACAUCCACCAUGCAAGUCUAAUGAAAGAAAGGAUGCUAUAUUUAUUGCCUUGGAAAUUGAAUAUGUGAGAAAUAUUUCAUUGGCUAGUUUAAACUAGUGUCAUCCACUCACAAUUCACCUUGGUUGAUGAGAUUUCAGAUUUGAGCCCUAUAAACCGGAAAGGAGGGAGUACUACCUAAGUUACUUCCACUAUGGCCAGCCUAACAAUGUUGUUUUGUGGGAGAAAUUAAUCUACAUCCUGAAAGUCAAAACCAUUUUCUUUUAUUUCCUUCUAUUUCAAUGCUCAUCGCACGUGGAGGUGGGAGGAGGACGAGAGCAAUGGACACCACCAACAUGAUAAGAACACCCCCUGCACCGCUGCACAUGGUGCCCAAGAACACCAAGCGAGCGACCAUCGAGCGAUACCCCACCAUGUGCAUGCUACAUGAGCGCCCAACCAUCAACUGGAACGAGCACUACCGCCUCUGACAUGCCCUUCCAUACAUGAUUCAAGCUUAGCAGAACAGUGUGAUAUGACGUACUCCCUCCGUUCGAAAAUAAUUGUCCUAGAAAUGAAUAUAAUGGAUGUAUCUAUAACUAAAAUAAGUCUAGAUACAUUUAUCUCUAUGACAAGUAUUUCCGGACGGAGGUAGUACUAUGCAGGGACAGUCAUCCACGAUGGAGCGUUGACCAUGCCCUAACAAUGGUGUUUUGUGAGAGAAAUUAAUCUACACCGUGAAAGUCAAAACCAUUUUAUUUUAUUUCCUUCUAUUUCAAUGCUCAUCGCACGUGACGAACAAGUGAAUGAAUUCGUUGCAAGAAACAGAGGACCAGUGACAACUCGCUUGGAACCGGCAAAAUCCAAAUUUUGUGAGCUGCCUCCCGCUUCAGCGGACGAAAUUUGAGGGCCACGCCAGCGAUCCGCGCCGUCUCUCCCCGGAUCGUGAUCGCGACCAUCCAUUACGUCCAGAUCCAACGGCAGGCUGUGCCCUCCUCCCUUGUUAAAUCCCCCCCUUCGCCUCCGUCUCCCACCAACAGCCGCCGCCACCACACCGCAGCUCCUCCUCCGUUCCAUUCCCAAACUCCGUCAACCAUGUCCGGCCGCGGCAAGGGCGGGAAGGGCCUGGGCAAGGGCGGCGCGAAGCGCCACCGGAAGGUGCUGCGGGACAACAUCCAGGGCAUCACCAAGCCGGCCAUCCGUCGGCUGGCGCGGCGCGGCGGCGUGAAGCGCAUCUCGGGGCUCAUCUACGAGGAGACCCGCGGCGUGCUCAAGAUCUUCCUCGAGAACGUCAUCCGCGACGCCGUCACCUACACCGAGCACGCCCGCCGCAAGACCGUCACCGCCAUGGACGUCGUCUACGCGCUCAAGCGCCAGGGCCGCACCCUCUACGGAUUCGGCGGCUGAUCUGCUAGCUGCUGCUGCUCCGGCAAGUCCCUGCUAGCUGCCUGUGUUCCGGUGAUAUGUGGUUUUCUUCUGAGUUCGUGCGUCGUUGUUCCAUCGGUCUGUGUAGUUAUCGAAUAUGAAUGGAAUUGAAUCAAUGUUCCUGUGGUAUCAUCUUGGCUGCGUCUCUCGAUAUGUUCCUAUUUAGUCACUACCAAUUUGUGACAUCCUGAUUCUUCUCGGCAAUGAAGUUGGCGCACUGAUUGUGGGGAAGAAAACUGCUCCUGUAAUUUGAAUGUAAAUGGAAUGGAAUCAGCGUCGUAUUAGUUUGUGCUGAAACGUUCUCUGAAUCAAGUUUUCUUUCUUCCCGGAAGUCAUACAGACCUGUGUUCUGAAACUCUCGAGUUGGCACAAUUUUAGUUCACUUGGUUAUCAACUUGCCCAUUGGUCAAAAAAAAAAGAGUAACUAACUUGUACUCCCUCUGUAAACUAAUAUAAAAGCAUUUAGAUCACUAUUUUAGUUAUCUAAACACUUUUAUAUUAAUUUACAGAGGGAGUACUAAUGCUUUAGAAAAAAAAACACUGUCAUCUUGUGCUACUUUGUCAGCUGCUAUUUUGUUACCGGCCGGGACACGCUUGGUGUUCUCCUCUUCUCUGAUGAGGUGUGGCCAGGGCUUCCAUGAAUUUGUUAACAUUUGAGUAAGAAACAUGGCAUUUGAAUUACGAGGGGAAUAUGGACAUUUGACCCAGAUGGAUCACAACAUAGUGAUGGAGCAUAUACUGUUUCACUCCAGUAUUUACUAUUUUCUAGCAAAUCAAAUUCCAAGAUAAGUGUCUUCCUGUCACUGGUCAGAAAAACAUCUUGGAUCUUAAGUCGAGGAGACAAGCAGAUGCUGCUAUGUACUCCCUCCGUCCCAAAAUAAGUAACUCAAAAAACGACUCAACUUUGUAUUAAAGUUAGUGCAAAGUCGAGUCGCUUUUAAGUCACUUAUUUUGGGACGGAGGGAGUAUCUUUUUAAUAGAUUCACUUAUGAAGCAGUUUCGAUACAAUGAUGCUCAUAUGGGAUGACAAAUUGGCAAUGAGAUAGUUGAGGUGAUUAACUUUAUUCACACAAACUGAUUUCUUUCCGUACACCUAUGUAUGGUAAAAUGCCUUCAGAGCCAGGAUUGACAUUGUGGAAUUGCUUGCGCCGGUCAGUUUACUCGAAAGCUCAAACUUAUGGGAAAAGGUAGACUUGAACACUCCCCACAAACGCGGCUUUCCUAAUCCGGACCGGACGCUUGAACUUGCCGUUGUAUAUUUAGACGUUUUUAUCAUUAGCAGAAUAAAACAUAUCAUUUAUAGUGAGAUGUUUUGCUAACCCUUCGUUGUGUAUCUCCUAGUUUGUUUGGUCAUGAAUGGUAGAUGAUCCUUUAGCCCAGUCGAUGGGGGUGCCAAACUUCCAUGAGGGUCAUGUCUUCUUAACGCAAGACCCACAUCAGGGCUAUAUCUCACUCGCUGCGAGUAUAGUUAUGUCUUUCUUGCCUUAUGAGAUCAUGCAAAUGGCUCGACCCAUUAACAAAGGCAGAGAGCAUCAACCCUUACAUGAGCGGGCGGGUUUGGAGGACUCCGGAGUGCUCCCAGCCUAUUUUUGUUAAGCUUCCAGGCCGUUUUUUUCUUUCUCUUGACCAUUUUUUCUACUUGUUUUGAGCUUUUGUGUGUGUUUCUUUUAGCGGUUUUCUUGGUCUUUUCUUUUUUCUUUUUCUUGUUCGUUUUUUCUUUGGUUUUCUAUGUUGGGUUUCAACGAUUUUCCAUCAGGUUCCGCUUUUCAAUGUUUCUUUAAGCAGUCUUUUACUCUUUUAUUAUUUUUUGUCUGUUUCAUCACAUGUCUACUUUUUUAAUAAACAUUUUACAUUUUUCAUUUACAUAAGAAGCGUUUUUUAUACAUUUUUUAAAUAGAUGAUUACCAUUUUUCAAAUAUAUGAUCAAUUUUUACUUUUUUUCAUACCUAGUGUACAUGUUUUUAUAUAUAGAUAAUACUUUUAGUACAUGUUUAACUCUUUUAAAUAUAUGAUUACAUUUUUACAAAUGUAUGUUUUGAUUUCUAAAAUUUUCAUAUACAUUGUGCAUUUUUCAUAUACAUCCACACCAUUUUGUAUACAUGUUUAAUAUUUUUCAUAUAUAGUAUUAGCAUUUCCUCUCAAACACAUGUUUUUGAAUAGAUGUUAUAUAUUUUCCAGAUACACGUUAAAUCAUUUUUUCGAAUUAUAUGAUUUAUUAAACUAUUCAGUUUUUUUACGUUGUAUAAACACUUAUAGUGUCACACACAUAUGUUUUAAAACACGUGAAUGUCUUUUUUAGUGCAACCUAUAUUUUUCUAAUGGUAUGAUACUACUUUGAGUUGCGUGAACAUUAUUUAAAAUUGUGUAAAGUUUUUAAAGAUGUCAUGUACAAGUUUUGAAAUGCUUGAACUUUUUUUUAAAUUAGCGAAACAAUUGUUUUGAAUCAUCAUUCUAUUUUUUUUCUACAUAUGUUUUUAUGUAGGUUAUAUCAUUUAUUAAAAGAAACAGUUCUUUUUUCUUCAAAUACACGUUGGAAAAUUUGUUGUAGAGGUUGAAAUUUUUCGAGGUGAUUGUUGAACAUUUUUCAGUGCUGGCAGAUAUUUUUCAGAUGCAUAUUAAAAAUUUAAUAAAUACAUGGUGAAUAUUUUUGUAGCACAUAUUAAACAUUUGUAAGUGUUAGAACAUAUUUUUGAUUGGUCUGAUACAUUUCUUUUGAAAAUUAUCCAAGAACAUCUUCUCACGUGAGACCAACGACGGGUCAGAAAUAGCUGCCGCGUGAGACCAAGGAUAAAUGUUCAAUGUGUGUAAAUAAUAAUUCGAAACCAUUGUUAACACACAUUGACCUAUUUUUCCCGCAGACCAACUGUUGUCAAGUGUUAAAACAUGUUUAACACACAUUGAAGAUUUUAUCAAUACAUGAUGAAUAUUUCAAACAUAUAUUAAAAAAAUCAGAAACAAAAUUCAAUGUGUGUUAAAAUCUGUUCAAAAAUAUAUUCAAUAUGUGUUGUUGAGUAUUAGAACACGUUUAACACACAUUGAAGAUUUUAUCAAUAGAUGAUGAAUAUUUUUUAACACACAUUGAACAUUGGUCAUAGAGACGAGACCACGUUACAUCCCGGUAGGGUCCGAAAUAGCUCUCGCGUGGGACCAACGACCGACUUGCCUAAAGAUUCUUUUAUUUAUAGUGGGCUGACCCCUUGGUAUUUGGUUCGUUAGAUUCAUUUAUUUCCUUCUUACAACUAUGAGAGAUGGAAGGUGCUUCUGAAAGUUGAGAGACAGUUUCGUUUGUGUGUCUCUCUUUCUCUUUUCGCUCUCCAUUUUAAUUUUGUUAAUAUUUCGAAAUUAUUUAAAUAAUGUCAUAUAUUUUAUCACGCAUUACAAAUAUUAAUGUAGUGUAAAAAACCCCUCAUGCAAUUUGUAUAAAAUACUAAAGGGGGCACAUGAUGGAGGUUGGAGGAGGACGAGAGCAACGGACACCACCAACAUGAUAAGAACAACCCCUGUACCGCUGUACAUGGUGCCCAAGACCACCAAGCGUGCGACUCACCCUGGACAUUUGGGUACCCUAACCCGUUACGCGAACAUGAACUGAACCUAAUUAUCCGAAUUGUCAAGUAAUUCGCGUAACGAAUUAGGGUUCGAUUCUCAUUUCUUGGCUAUUUGGUUUCUGGGUUAGGAUUCGGGUUUGAGUCAAGAAAACCCGAAAUACCUAUACUAUCCGAAUUAUUCAUACUAUCCAAAUUAUUCAUCAUAUUAUUACACUGUCAUGUUACCCAUACUAGCUAAAAUACCCAUACUACCUGAAAUGCCCGUACUAUCCAAAUUAUUCUACCAAAAGUUGAUGUGUGCUCCGAAUAUUUCGGGUUUUUUGGGUACCCGGAUUACCUGAACCAAAAGUUUGAGUAAUUUGGGUUCUAGUAAGCAGAAAAAGUUUCUGUUUCCAUUUUGAAGUACCCGAAUUACCCAUAAACCAAACUACCCGAACCAAAAUAACCGAAAUACCCGAAUGCCCAGGGUGACGCGCGACCAGCGAGCGAUAAGCCACCAUGUGCAUGCUACAUGAGCGACCAACCAUCAACUAGAAUGAGCACUACCGCCUCUGACAUGCCCCUCCACACAUGAUUCAAGGACUACAACAAUCCAAAGUCGCCCGAUACAAUGGAGGCUGACUCGAUGGGAGAAUUGAUUUUGACGCCUCCAUCUCGCACGCCUUCGAUCUUAUGCCCCCCUCCUCAUUUGGCUUCCUCUCAACUCCCCGACGCGACUUAAUUUUUGCUCCAUUACCCCCCUACCAUGUUUACCUCUUGAUUUAUCUGGUCAGGAAGGAAUCUGGACUUAAUAUAUUUGCAAAUGCCAAAUCUGACCUUGUCCACUCUUCCUUCCAAAAGGUACGAGACAGAGGGGUUCCGUCCCUGUACCGACCUAGCAGCUAGAGCAGCUGCGCCGGCCGUCCGUCGCCCUCCUCCGCGGUGUCCCCCCAUGGAGGAUAAUGUACAUGGAUACUACUCAGUUAGCAGAUUCAGGGCAGUAUAUGAAGGUGUAAUUGAGCCCCUUACAAACAAGAAUCAGUGGCCACAUGUGCAUACAUGCUUCGUGUUGCGUCCACCAAUUCCAACAGGCAAGAAAAAAGAUGCUGGAAGAACAAGAAACAGAUGAUAAAGAGUUGGUGGGAAGGUGGAUCGAGGAAGGGAUCCUCGAACAAAUGCAAAAAUGCGGGGAGGUAGGACAUAGAGAAGCUGGAUGUCCUAAAAUUGGAACAAAGAAAAGGUACAAACUAGUACUUGUUGCUGUUUUCUAUUUAUAAUACCAUGGUUCUUUUACAUAAAAGUAGUUCUAAUUGCUUCUUUUUGUAGGAAAAGUACGGGAGGAAAGAAUCCAUGUCCAUGGUUUGAUGUUUCAGUUAGCAAUGUCGUUCCAUCUACACCAACCAAGAGCAAAAAUAAUGCCAAUUGUAGCAGUCCUGGAGCUGUCACAAGAAGCCAAGACGCAACUCAAGGUAGUCUCAAACCUGUCACAAGGAGGCAAUCUUCUACUCCACCACCAACAUCUCUAGGAAAAGGAAAGAAGAAGAAAAUUACUCAUACGAGGAAGAAAUUAAGUGACCUGUGAAUUUGUUGGUGGCUAUGAUGAACUCGUGUGUGAGUGGAGACUCACUUUUAUUGUUGUGUAUGUGAGGUGCAAAGUCACUUUUAUUUUCUCUGUAAGUGAGGUAGAGACUCACUUCUAUUUGCUAUGCCUGUAUGUGAGGUAGAGACUCACUUAUUUUGCUGUCAUCAAGUCUUGUAGAACAUAGUUGAACUUAUUCUCUAUGUUAUUGUUGAAUUAUUGUGAGAGCAUUAUUCCCAGUGCUAUCGUUCAAUUAUUGUGAGAUUAUUAUUCCCAGUCUGUUUGCGUAAAAGGUAUUGAUUACAACAAAAUGUUUUGUACCGGGUUGUGCCUUUCAAACUGAAGGGCAUUUUUGUCUAUUCCUGCUUCUGUUUGAUAGUUAUAUACUAACAUACGUGUUAACCAUGCCAAAGGAAGGUAUCAACAAGAGUUAGACAGAUCUGGGGGGGNNNNNNNNNNNNNNNNNNNNNNNNNNNNNNNNNNNNNNNNNNNNNNNNNNNNNNNNNNNNNNNNNNNNNNNNNNNNNNNNNNNNNNNNNNNNNNNNNNNNAGACCCGGGACUAAAGGUCCUCCUAUAUAAAACGAGCCUUCGAAGUUUCCAACCCCUCUUAUAUAGUUUGUUAGUUUAUUAGUUAAUCAAAUGUCCGUUUUUUGCAGAACUAUGGAUCCACAUAUCAGGAACCUCGAAGAGGAAGAACUUCUCGAAGAUAUAAUCAAAGACGGCCCCGACGUUGAACCAGCCGAAUCUCCGACGUCAUAUCUAAACGACUCCGGAUAUGGAAUGAAAGUCGAGCGACACGAAGAUGAAGCCGAUGGGGCAGGAGAUAGGUCCAAUGACGGAGAAGGUGAUAGCUCCACUGAUGGAGAAGCCGGUGGAGAAGCCGUGAAGAAAUAAUAAAGUCCGGCGAGGUAUACAUAUGAAGCUCGACAAUCACUUGUAAUAUGUGAAAAAUAUUGGAGAUAGCUCUAUAUUGUAUACAUAUACAUUCAUUUGACGAAUGUUUCUCCCUCUUAGGCCUCCACAUCGAGCAAAUCUAUGAAACGAGGCCCGACUAGAAAGUUGGAUGCACGAACGCAUUACACCUUUGAGGUGAUAAUGCCUAUGGGCGAACCCAAGCUUCCUAAGAAUGUUGCUGACACAUUCAAGAAGCAAUGCGGAGUUCUCGUUAGGGAUCACGUCCCGAUCAGCGUUCGGGAGUGGAACAAGCGCAAAGGGGCAGCCGAUAGUGACUAUGUCGCCGAAAGGUACAAAGAUAAUCUUUGGAAUGAUCUCAUGUCACAUUUCAACCUACCAGAAUGUGAGAAUGAAGACGCUGUAGACAAACUGAGGGCCAAAGUCAAGCAGUGGACUCUAAAGAAGAUGGCCGAACUGUUCCGUAGCUGGAAGAAGAAGCUAUGGAAAAACUAUCUGGAGACAAACAAAGUGCCAGUAUUCGAGGGGUAUCUAGCCAAGCAGGCGAAUCACUGGAAGGAAUUUUAAGAGUACAAGGAGUCAGAAGAUGCCCAGGCAUUAUCAGAAAAGAACAAGAUAAAUGCCGACAAGAAGAAAUAUCACCACAAGCUGGGGCCAGGGGGCUAUGAGACUGCCAUCCCAAAGUGGGAAAAGAAAGAGCAAGAUCUGAUAGAUAAAGGCAUCGUACCUGAACCACUCCGUGAUGAGUGGGAAUUGAGAGCAAGAAAUUGGUUCCUUGCGCAUGGUGGGUCGUACGACGAAACAACAGGGGACCUCAUCUGCAAUGACAAUCUUAGGAUACCCAGGGAGAAUUGGAAAAGGAUAGUGAAAGAAAUUAAGGAGGGACAAAGAAAGUUCACUGCAGAUAGAGAUAAAGAUUUGCUCACCCUGGUCCUCGGCAAUGACGAACAUGGAGGACGAACGCGAGGCUUCGGUCCAUCUUACCCGUGGUGGCUUGGGUUUGCCAGAGACCAAGACACUUACAGAAGUCGAGAGAGAGCAAAGAAGCGGCAGCAGGAUGAGGAGAAUGACAAGUUCAACCAGUUGCUUGCCAGGAUUAACGAGCAACAGAAGCAGAUUGAUGAGCUUAGAGGAGUACCGCGCCAGGAAGAUCCUGCACUUGAUAUUACCGGCGCCCCAUCUAAGCGGAAAAGCAGCGNNNNNNNNNNNNNNNNNNNNNNNNNNNNNNNNNNNNNNNNNNNNNNNNNNNNNNNNNNNNNNNNNNNNNNNNNNNNNNNNNNNNNNNNNNNNNNNNNNNNUGAUCUAUUUAUUCACACAUGUAUUACUGUUUCCUGUUAAUACAAUUAUAGCAUGAACAAUAGACGAUUAUCAUGAACAAGGAAAUAUGAUAAUAACCAUUUUAUUAUUGCCUCUAGGGCAUAUUUCCAACAGUCUCCCACUUGCACUAGAGUGAAUAAUCUAGUUACAUUGUGAUGUAUCGAACACCCAUAGCAUUAUGGUGUUGAUCAUGUUUUGCUCGUGGAAGAGGUUUAGUUAACGGGUCUGCAACAUUCAGAUCCAUGUGUACUUUACAAAUCUCUAUUACUCCACUCUGGACAUGGUCUUGGAUGGAGUUGUAGCGGCGUUUGAUGUGCUUCGUCUUCCGGUGAAACCUGGGCUCCUUGGCUAUGGCAAUGGCCCCAGUGUUAUCACAGAAGAGUGUCAUUGGACCCGACGAGCUUGAAACCACUCCAAGGUCGGUGAUGAGCUCCUUCAUCCAAAUUCCUUCAUGNNNNNNNNNNUGCUUCAGAAGUAGCUAUGUACUCCGCUUCACAUGUAGAUGCUACCACGACUUCUUGCUUGUUGCUGCACCAGCUCACUGCCCCACCAUUCAAAACAUAUACGUAUCCGGUCUGUGACUUAGAGUCAUCCAGAUCUGUGUCGAAGCUAGCAUCGACGUAAACCUUUACGACGAGCUCUUCUUCACCUCCAUAAACGAGAAACAUUUCCUUAGUCCUUUUUAGGUACUUAAGGAUAUUCUUGACCGCGGUCCAGUGUUCCCUACCGGGAUAACUUUGGUACCUCCCUACCAAACUUAUGGCAAGGUUUAUAUCAGGUCUGGUACACAGCAUGGCAUACAUAAGAGAGCCUACGGCUGAAGCGUAGGGGACAGAACUCAUCUUCUCUCUAUCUUCUGCCGUGGUCGGCGACUGAGUCUUACUCAAUCUCAUACCUUGCAAAACUGGCAAUAACCCUUUCUUUGAGUUUUCCAUAUUGAACUUCUUCAAUAUCUUGUCAAGGUAUGUACUUUGCGAAAGACCUAUGAGGCGUCUCGAUCUAUCUCUACAGAUUUUGAUGCCUAAUAUGUAUGCAGCUUCUCCAAGGUCCUUCAUUGAAAAACUCUUGUUCAAAUAGGCCUUUAUGCUUUCCAACAUCUCUAUGUCAUUCCUCAUCAAUAAUAUGUCAUCCACAUACAGUAUGAGGAAAGAUACAGAGCUCUCACUCACUUUUUUAUACAGACAGGCUUCUCCAUAAACCUGUAUGAACCCAAACGCUUUAAUCACCUCAUUAAAGCGAAUGUUCCAACUCCGAGAUGCUUGCACCAGCCCAUAGAUGGAGCGCUGGAGCUUGCACACUUUGUUAGCACCCUUAGGGUCGACAAAACCUUCUGGUUGCAUCAUAUACAACUCUUCCUUAAGGUUCCCGUUAAGGAACACUGUUUUGACGUCCAUUUGCCAAAUUUCAUAAUCAUAAAAGGCGGCAAUUGCUAACAUGAUUCGGACUGAUUUCAGCUUCACUACGGGAGAGAAAGUCUCGUCGUAGUCAACUCCUUGAAUUUUUCGAAAACCCUUUGCGACAAGUCGAGCUUUGUAAACGGUUACAUUACCGUUUGCAUCAGUCUUCUUCUUGAAGAUCCAUUUAUUUUCUAUGGCUCGCCGGUCAUCGGGCAAGUCCACCAAAGUCCAUACUUUGUUCUCAUACAUGGAUCCUAUCUCGGAUUUCANNNNNNNNNNGCUACGGGAGAGAAAGUCUCUUGGUAGUCAAUUCCUUGAAUUUGUCGAAAACCCUUUGCGACAAGUCGAGCUUUACAAAUGGUUACAUUACCGUUUGCAUUAGUCUUCUUCUUGAAGAUCCAUUUAUUUUCUAUGGCUAGCCGGUCAUUGGGCAAGUCCACCAAAGUCCAUACAUUGUUCUCAUACAUGGAUCCUAUCUCGGAUUUCAUCGCUUCAAGCCAUUUGUUGGAAUCCGGGCCCGCCAUCGCUUCUUCAUAGUUCGAAGGUUCACCGUUGGCUAACAACAUGAUUUCCAUCACAGGGUUGCCGUACCACUCUGGUGCGGAGCGUGCCCUCGUGGACCUUCGCGGUUCAGUAGUAACUUGAUCUGAAGCUUCAUGAUCAUUAUCAUUAACUUCCUCUUCAGUUGGUGUAGGCGCUACAGGAACAACUUCCCGCGCUGCGCUACUAUCUUGUUCGAGAGGGGGUGUAAUUACCUCAUCAAGUUCUACCUUCCUCCCACUUACUUCUUUCGAGAGAAACUCUUUCUCUAGAAAGGAUCCGUUCUUGGCAACAAAGGUUUUACCUUCGGAUCUAAGAUAGAAGGUAUACCCAAUAGUUUCCUUAGGGUAUCCUAUGAAUACGCAUUUCUCCGCUUUGGGUUUGAGCUUUUUUGGUUGAAGUUUCUUCACAUAAGCAUCGCAGCCCCAAACUUUAAGAAANNNNNNNNNNCCAAACCAUAGUUCAUACGGUGUCGUCUCAACGGAUUUAGAUAGUGCCCUAUUUAAAGUGAAUGCUGCAGUUUCUAAUGCGUAUCCCCAAAAUGAUAGCGGUAAGUCGGUAAGAGACAUCAUAGAUCGUAUCAUAUCUAAUAAAGUGCAAUUACGAUGUUCAGACACUCCGUUGCGUUGCGGUGUGCCAGGCGGCGUCAGUUGUGAAACGAUUCCACACUUCCUUAGUGUGUGCCAAACUCGUGACUCAAAUAUUCUCCUCCACGAUCAGAUCGNNNNNNNNNNUCAAACCAUAGUUCAUACGGUGUCGUCUCAACGGACUUAGACGGUGCCCUAUUUAAAGUGAAUGCUGAAGUUUCUAAUGCGUAUCUCCAAAAUGAUAGCGGUAAGUCGGUGAGAGACAUCAUAGAUCGUACCAUAACUAAUAAAGUGCGAUUACGACGUUCAGACACUCCGUUGCGCUACGGUGUGCCAGGCGGUGUCAGUUGUGAAACGAUUCCACACUUCCUUAGGUGUGUGCCAAACUCGUGACUCAAAUAUUCUCCUCCACGAUCAGAUCAUAGACACAUAAUUUUUCUGUCACGUUGAUUCUCGACCUCACUCUGAAAUUCCUUGAACUUUUCAAAUGUCUCAGAUUUGUGCUUCCUCAAGUAGAUAUACCCAUACCUACUCAAAUCAUCGGUGAGAGUGAGAACAUUACGAUAGCCACCGCGAGCUUCAACGUUCAUUGGACCACACACAUCAGUAUGUAUUAUUUCUAAUAAGUCGGUUGCUCUCUCCAUUAUUCCUGAGAAUGGAGUAUUAGUCAUCUUGCCCAUGAGGCACGGUUCGCAUGUGUCAAAUGGUUCAAAGUCAAGAGAUUCUAAUAGUCCAUCAGUAUGGAGCUUCUUCAUGCGCUUAACGCCGAUAUGACCAAGGCGGCAGUGCCACAAGUAUGUGGGACUAUCAUUAUCAACUUUACAUCUUUUGGUACUCACACUAUGAAUAUGCGUAACAUCACGAUCGAGAUUCAUCAAGAAUAAACCAUUCACCAGCGGAGGAUGACCAUAAAACAUAUCACUCAUAUAAAUAGAACAACCAUUAUUCUCNNNNNNNNNNGACAUUUAAUUUUUCUGUCACGUUGAUUCUCAACCUCACUCUGAAAUUCCUUGAACCUUUCAAACGUCUCAGAUUUGUGCUUCAUCAAGUAGAUAUACCCAUACCUACUCAAAUCAUUAGUGAGAGUGAGAACAUAACGAUAACCACCGCGAGCUUCAAGGUUCAUUGGACCACACACAUGAGUAUGUAUUAUUUCCAAUAAGUCGGUUGCUCUCUCCAUUAUUCCUGAGAAUGGAUUCUUAGUCAUCUUGCCCAUGAGGCACGGUUCGCAUGUGUCAAAUGAUUCAAAGUCAAGAUACUCUAAUAGUCCAUCAGUAUGGAGCUUUUUCAUGCGCUUAACGCCGAUAUGACCAAAGCGGCAGUGCCACAAGUAUGUGGGACUAUCAUUAUCAACUUUGCAUCUUUUGGUACUCACACUAUGAAUAUGUGUAACAUCACGAUCCAGAUUCAUCAAAAAUAAACCAUUCACCAGCGGAGCAUGACCAUAAAACAUAUCACUCAUAUAAAUAGAACAACCAUUAUUCUCUGACUUAAAUGAGUAGCCGUCUCGCAUUAAGCAAGACCCUGAUACAAUGUUCAUGCUUAAAGAUGGUACUAAAAAACAAUUAUUAAGGUUUAAAACUAAUCCCGACGGUAGAUGUAAAGGUAGCGUGCCGACGGCGAUCACAUCGACCUUUGAACCAUUCCCGACGCGCAUCGUCACCUCGUCCUUGGCCAGUCUCCGCUUAUUCCGCAGUUCCUGCUUUGAGUUGCAAAUGUGAGCAAUAACACCGGUAUCAAAUACCCAGGAGCUACUAUGAGCGCUGGUAAGGUAUACAUCAAUAACAUGUAUAUCACAUAUACCUUUAACGUUGCCGGCCUUCUUGUCCGCUAAGUAUUUGGGGCAGUUCCGCUUCCAGUGACCCUUUCCCUUGCAAUAGAAGCACUCAGUCUCAGGCUUGGGUCCGUUCUUUUUCUUCUUCCCGGCAUCUGGCUUACCGGGUGCGGCAACAGCUUUGCCGUCUUUCUUGAAGUUCUUCUUACCCCUGCCUUUCUUGAAACUAGUGGUCUUGUUGACCAUCAACACUUGAUGCUCUUUCUUGAUUUCUACUUCUGCAGACUUGAGCAUCAAGUACAACUCGGGAAUGGUCUUCUCCAUCCCUUGCAUGUUGUAGUUAAGCACAAAACCUUUGUAGCUUGGUGGGAGAGACUGGAGGAUUAUUUCAAUUAUAGCAUCAUCCGGAAGUUCGACUCCAAGUGAAGUCAGACGACCGUGUAACCCAGACAUUUUGAGUAUGUGCUCACUGACAGAACUGUUCUCCUCCAUCUUACAGCUAAAGAACUUGUCGGAGACUUCAUAUCUCUCGACANNNNNNNNNNCUGAUACUAAAUAACAAUUAUUAAGGUUUAAAACUAAUCCCGACGGUAGAUGUAGAGGUAGCGUGCCGACGGCGAUCACAUCGACCUUGGAGCCAUUCCUGACGCGCAUCGUCACCUCGUCCUUGGCCAGUCUCUGCUUAUUCCGCAAUUCCUGCUUUGAGUUGCAAAUGUGAGCAACAACACCGGUAUCAAAUACCCAGGAGCUACUACGAGCGUUGGUAAGGUACACAUCAAUAACAUGUAUAUCACAUAUACCUUUAACGUUGCCGGCCUUCUUGUCCGCUAAGUAUUUGGGACAGAUCCGCUUCCAGUGACCCUUUGCCUUGCAAUAGAAGCACUCAGUCUCAGGCUUGGGUCCAUUCUUUUUCUUCCUCCCGGCAUCUGGCUUACCGGGCGCGGCAAUGGCUUUGCCGUCUUUCUUGAAGUUCUUCUUACCCUUGCCCUUCUUGAAACUAGUGGUCUUGUUGACCAUCAACACUUGAUGCUCUUUCUUGAUUUCUACUUCUGCAGACUUGAGCAUCGAGUACAACUCGGGAAUGGUCUUCUCCAUCCCUUGCAUGUUGUAGUUCAGCACAAAACUUUUGUAGCUUGGUGGGAGAGACUGGAGGAUUCUGUCAAUUAUAGCAUCAUCCGGAAGUUCGACUCCAAGUGAAGUCAGACGANNNNNNNNNNUGGGCAUGAGCUUGAAAAACUAGCUUCAGCUCUUGGAACAUCUCAUAUGUACCGUGUUGCUCAAAACGCCUUUGGAGCCCCGUUUCUAAACUGUAUAGCAUGCCACACCUAACCAGAGAGUAGUCAUCACUCCGCGUUUGCGAGACAUUCAGAAUGUCCUGGGCUGAUGCGGGAGCGGGAGGGUCACCUAGCGGCGCAUCAAGGACAUAAGCCUUUUUAGCUGCUUCAAGGAUGAGCUUCAAGUUGUGAACCCAGUCCGCAUAGUUGCUACCAUCAUCUUUUAGCUUGUUUUUCUCUAGGAAUGCGUUGAAAUUGAGGUUGACGUUUGCCAUCUACAAUAUUUAUAAAGACAACCUUUUUUAGACUAAGUUCAUGACAAUUAAGUUCAUUUAAUCAAAUUAAGUAUGAACUCCCACUUAAAUCGACAUCUAUACCUAUACUAAUUAGAGACUCUCAAAAAAUUACCACGUUAAUUAGAAAUUAAGAGCCGUUUAUCUUAUGUGGGACCGAAUUAUUACGGUGUAGAUCUUCCUAUAACUCCCUUAUUAGUUUUAACCGGAAAUACUUCAUGUUAUCCUUAAAACUAGGAACCACAGCCGUUGGAUGUUGUUAAUAAAGAGUAAACAUAAAACGUUAGGUGUUUGAUUGAUUCGAACGAGCCCUGGACCAUUUAUAUAUUUAUAUAAAAAAGAGUACUGUAGCUUCAAAAUAAAAAGAGUCCCAUAUGAUCCCAUGAAGUCGUGAGCUAUCCUAAUCCUGCAUCUUUCCUUCAACCGUGGCCUGGGUCUAGCCGCCGCGAGUCUCCCCUUUCCACCCCAGCGCCGUCACGCUCUUCAUCAAAGCAAGAUUGUCCACCUUUAUGUCCAUGCGCUGUGCGUGCAUAUCACACAUCAGGAUACAUCCAUCCAUCCAGGAAGUAAGAUUUACUUUAGCGUCCCUGUUUAAUGACAUGGAUUCAUCAUUACUGCACCGAUGAAAUCUCCAUCAAAGCAAGAUUGUUUAGUUGAGCAAGUAGCCGUAUACAUGUCUCAUGUCUGGACCACGGUCGAGAGAGUUCAGUGCAGCUGCCUAGCUGACUUGAGAAUAUAUUGUUGCCCUUGGUGAUUACUACCACGAGAAUCAAGCUAGACCUACUACUACUUGCCGGCUGCACAACUUGCACAUGUACGUGCAAGGCUAAAUCCAAGAACCAACUAAUGGCCGUUGCUUCAGUUAGCAGCAGUACGCACAUGUACAUAUGUAUAUAUAUAUACAAGACGACUGUGCAAGCAUGCAGUCUAAUUACUUCUGCUAUAAAGAAGGAGCAUGGGCAGUGAUUCUGUAGGGCAGCCAACUGACCGUUCGCUAUGUUGUUGUAUAUAUUGUUGCUAAUCUUUCCUCCUUUUGGUUAUUUUGUUCUUUCCUAAAGUCUAAUAGGUAUCUGUCGUCCAUACAUUGAUCCUUUGUAUAGAUGAAAACCUAAAAAAAUAUCUUUCUCUAAACAGUACCACAUUAGAUUUAUUGCUACGCUCUGUUCAAUCAAUAGAGAUUUGGAUAAUUUGAUUUGCAAUAAUGCUAAACUCACACUUUAGUUCAUUAUGUCAACUCUCUUUAGGUUAAAGUAUUUAUUUUCAGCAGCUUAGCACUGACUUCAUCUAUAUAAAUAAACUAAUUCGUACAAGAGUUGUAAUUUCUUAUUCUUUUUACAUAUGUGCAUGGCCGACGAUGGUGCCGAAUAACUAUGGCGCAUAUGUUAGAUUCAAUGGUUUGCUUGUAUAGAUGAAAACCUGAAAAAAAUAUCUUUCUCUAAAUAGUACCACAUUAGAUUUAUUGCUACGCUCUGUUCAAUCAAUUGAGAUUUGGAUAAUUUGAUUUGCAAUAAUGCUAAACUCACACUUUAGUUCAUUAUGUCAACUCUCUUUAGGUUAAAGUAUUUAUUUUCAGCAGCUUAGCACUGACUUCAUCUAUAUAAAUAAACUAAUUCGUACAAGAGUUGUAAUUUCUUAUUCUUUUUACAUAUGUGCAUGGCCGAUGAUGGUGCCGAAUAACUAUGACGCAUAUGUUAGAUUCAAUGGUUUGCUUUUCUUAUGCUGCAAAAGAAUUAUCUCAUUGCUCGACAACCCUGAGCAUUCUUUCCAAUUAGCAUCUACUGACAAUUGCACUAUUUGGUUAUCUUCAUAUUACCUUUUACUCGCUUUGUCGUCACUUAUACAGAUGAACUGACCCAGUUUGCGCAUCUUAUUCAAUAAUUUUAGAUGCAAGAAUAUGGUAAAUUGUUACUGAUUUACUAUAAGAUAAGAAAAUAAUAAAGCAAUGAUUACACUUUUUACACAUGUACCGUUGCAUUCUCAUCCUCAUGUCGAAAUGCUAAAGCAUACUUGGAAGCGGCAUGAUAGUACUAAAUUUAUACACAAUACUGAACGUUUACUUGAGCAGUAGCCGUCCGGAGUUUAACAUGUGCUCUUACCUUUUAACUGUGUCUUGGAAUAAUGCUCUUAUAUGCUUCCACUAGAUUUUAUCCGAUGCAAACAUAUAGAUACACUUUCAUAAGCCAAGCGCAAGUCCUUCUGCUUUGAGAUUGAUUUCGAUUUACAGUUGAUGCAUAUAUUACCUCCUUAAUAAGUUGUUCAAAUAUAGAGGAUGUGACUAACUUAUUGAGUAUAAUAAUUUUCCAGAUGGGUGUUGCAUUUAACAGAUCCCUAGCUUUGUUAUGGUACCAUUGGACUAUCCAGACCGGUAAGGCGUAAGGGAAUCACAUAACAUGUUUCUCAGGUGAGAUGCUAUAUAUAAACAUGCAUAUGGCCAUUAAUGUCUAUGUGCUGGACGGUGAAAUGAACUCCCUACCGAAGCUAUGCUAUCUUAUGCUAAUUAGGCUAGCAUGUUCGGCUACACUUGCUAGGAGUUUGGUCGGAUUAUUAUAUGUUGUCUUAUUUUCUUGCUAAUUUUGUAGUUUCUGACAUUUAUCAUGAUUUUUCGUCCUUUAAUAAAAUUUUACUUUUUGACUACAAAACUACAACUAUCUUUAUCUACGUACUACUAUUUAAUUUUUUUCCUUUGGCUUCUAUUCUAUUUCAGGCUUGGGUGUACUGAAACAAUAAUAUAGGUAUAAACUUAUACAGAUGAGCUGCACUACUCUGCGCAGCUUAUCCAAUUGAUCUGGCCGUAAGUAUAUUAGUUUGUACAAGAUACUGAUUCAUUGCCGGUUCUUAUCUAUAUAUGGUGUACUAUUUUGUUAGAAGAUGGUUUGUAAUGUUGAUGCAUUCUUAAUGGUACAUACUUAUUACAUUUUAUUUUUAGAUAUUGCCCUUUCAAAUUUCAUUUGGAUAGAUGAUUGUUUUUUUAUAAAUACCCUUUAUGAAUAUUUUACUUUAUGAUAAAAAAACAGUCAAACUGUUUCAGUUUCAUAAGCAUCUAGCGAGAAUAAUUACCAGACAUAUUUCCAAAUAUUGCCUCCGUCCCAGAAUUGAAGAUCGUUUUGCAGGCUAUGUAUUGUAGCUAGGAUGGAGGGAGUAUCAUUUACAUCUUUUAUAAAAGUGCUGCAUCGGCUAUGGACAUCUGGAUGCUAUGAGUGCAUAGUUGUCUUUUGAGUUUCGUUGUAUAAGCUAAUGUAUGCUUUUAUUUUCUCUUGAGCUUUUGGUUUAUGUUUGAUAUACAUCCCAUGGUAAACAAAAGAACAUGUGGAGUGACCUGGUCAUUUGUUUAUUAUGGUGAUUCUCCUAUUCCAUUGGCUAUUUUGUAGGUGAUUUGCAAUCAACAAUUAAUGGAGUUUGGUAAAGAAGGUGCCAUCAUAGUGACUCUUCAUUAGGUUCUCAUUGUUCACUUAUAAUGGAAACAAUAACACAAUACAUGAUGUGUGUGCAUAGAAUUAUGUGAUCAAUUGUUUCCAAGUUAUUGCUUGAUUUUGCUAUAACAAGCCAAAUGUUUCUUUGAAGUCUAAUCAUCAUCCAAUAGCUGUUUAUAUAUGUUCGUUUUGUUGUGUAUCUUGUGGAUUCAUGCCAUGCAAACUACUUUAUGGUUCUCUACUAUUUAUAUGAACAACAAAAUUUGUUUUAUUUUCAGACAUAAUAAGGUUAAGUAAAACAAAGAAGACUAAUUUAAGGAUGUAGCAUGACAUUGCGGAGUGCAAGAGUUCAUCAAAACGAGAUAACCUACGAAAAAAAACAUGAAAACAAGACGGUGAAAUUAUUUGCCGAUAAAUUUAUGCUACUUUGCAUUGUAGAUGAGAAUACAUUUUUGAGCAUGACAUGUAAAUAUGUCAUGUAGUGUACGUCCAAAGUUGGAUUUUCUUUUUAACUUUGGUGUAUGACUUCUCCUAGAUAACAAAUUUCAGACAUUUUCAUAUAUGGUAAGCAUUUUUUUAAUUACUUCAUUACUAAUAGUGAUAUAUUUUCAUAUUUAGAUAUAUAUGUGUAUCAGAUAACCUAUUAGUAUCUUUAUGUGUUCUCAAAAUAACUAGCUCGUGCUGAUGCACGGGUUGACGACUAGUCCCUCUAGUCAUCUAAGUGAUACAUGAUCCAUGUUGACUGACCCGUGUCCGAUCAUCACGUGAGACGGACUAGUCACCAUGGUGAGCAACUUCAUGCUGAUCGUAUUCAACCAUACGACUCAUGUNNNNNNNNNNCGGGCAUGAGCUUGAAAAACUAGCUUCAGCUCCUGGAACAUCUCAUAUGCCCCGUGUUGCUCAAAAGGCCUUUGGAGCCCCGUUUCUAAACUGUAUAACAUGCCACACCUGACCAGAGAGUAGUCAUCACUCCGCGUUUGCCAGACGUUCAGAAUGUCCUGGGCUGCUGCGGGAGCGGGAGGGUCACCUAGCGGCGCAUUAAGGACAUAAGCCUUUUUAGCUGCUUCAAGGAUGAGCUUCAAGUUGCGAACCUAGUCCGCAUAGUUGCUACCAUCAUCUUUCAGCUUGUUUUUCUCUAGGAAUGCGUUGAAGUUGAGGUUGACGUUGGACAUCUACAAUAUUUAUAAAGACAACUUUUAGACUAAGUUCAUGACAAUUAAGUUUAUUUAAUCAAAUUAAGUAUGAACUCCCACUUAAAUCGACAUCCCUCUAGUCAUCUAAGUGAUACAUGAUCCAUGUUGACUAACCCGUGUCCGAUCAUCACGUGAGACGGACUAGUCAUCAUGGUGAGCAACUUCAUGCUGAUCGUAUUCAACCAUACGACUCAUGUNNNNNNNNNNUUGUAAAUCUAGCUUACACACGUUGUAUGCGAACGUUAGAAUCUAUCACACCCGAUCAUCACGUGGUGCUUCGAGACAACGAUCCUUCGCAACGGUGCACACUUAGGGGAAUACGUUCUCGAAAUUUUAAGAGGGAUCAUUUUAUUAUGCUACCGUCGUUCUAAGCAAUAAGAUGAAAAACAUGAUAAACAUCACAAUGCAAUCAUAUAGUGACAUGAUAUGGCCAUUAUCAUCUUUGCUCUUUNNNNNNNNNNUCAACCUUUCGGUCUCUUGUAUUCGAGGUCAUGUCUGUACAUGCUAAGCUCGUCGAGUCAACCUAGGUGUUUCGCGUGUGUAAAUGUGGCUUACACCCGUUGUAUGCGAACGUUAGAAUCUAUCACACCCGAUCAUCACGUGGUGNNNNNNNNNNNNNNNNNNNNNNNNNNNNNNNNNNNNNNNNNNNNNNNNNNNNNNNNNNNNNNNNNNNNNNNNNNNNNNNNNNNNNNNNNNNNNNNNNNCGAUCUCCAUCUUCAGGCAUCGCAUGAUCAUCAUCGUCACCGGUGUGACACCAUGAUCUCCAUCAUCAUGAUCUUCAUCAUCGUGUCUCCGUGAAGUCGUCACGCCAACUACUACUAUCACUACUACUAUAGCUAACCGUUAGCAAUGAAGUGAAAGUAGUAAGCACAUGGCGUUGCAUCUCAUACAAUAAAUUAAGACAACUCCUAUGGCUCCUGCUGGUUGUCAUACUCAUCGACAUGCAAGUCGUGAAACCUAUUACAAUAACNNNNNNNNNNUGAUCUCCAUCUUCAGGCAUCGCAUGAUCAUCAUCGUCACCGGCGUGACACCAUGAUCUCCAUCAUCAUGAUCUCCAUCAACGUGUCUCUGUGAAGUCGUCACGCCAACUACUACUAUCACUACUACUAUAGCUAACCGUUAGCAAUGAAGUAAAAGUAGUAAUCACAUGGCAUUGCAUCUCAUACAAUAAAUUAAGACAACUCCUAUGGCUCCUGCCGGUUGUCAUACUCAUCGACAUGCAAGUCGUGAAACCUAUUACAAUAACAUGAUCAUUUCAUACAUCAUACAUGCAACAUCACAACUUUGGCCAUAUCACAUCACAUGCCAAACCCUGCAAAAACAAGUUAGACGUCCUCUAAUUGUUGUUGCAAGUUUUACGUGGCUGAUUUGGGUUUCUAGCAAGAACGCUUUCUUACCUACGUGACAGCCACAACGAUGAUAUGCCAAACCUAUUUACCCUUCAUAAGGACCCUUUUCAUCAAAUCCACUCCGACUAGAGUAGGAGAGACAGGCACCCGCUAGCCACCUUUAUGCACGAUGUGCAUGUCUGUCGGUGGAACCAGUCUCACGUAAGUGUACGUGUAAUGUCGGUCCGGGCCGCUUCAUCCCACAAUACCGUCGGAAAAGAAUAAGACUAGUAGCGGCAAGCAAUUGACAAAUCAUCGCCCACAACCUUUUGUGUUCUACUCCUGCAUAGAAUCUACGCAUAGAAAACCUGGCUCGCAUGCCACUGUUGGGUAACGUAGCAUAAAUUCAAAAAAAUUCCUACGCAUAUUCAGAUCUUCCUAUGAAGAGACCAGCAACGAGAGAGGGGGUGAGUGCAUCUUCAUACCUUUGAAGAUCGCUAAGCGUAAGCGUUACUAGAACGCGGUUGAUGGAGUCCUACUUGCGGCGAUUCAUAUCGCGGUGUGAUUCCGAUCUAGUGCCGAACAACGGCACCUCCGCGUUCAACACACGUGCAGCCCGGUGACGUCUCCCGCACCUUGAUCCAGCAAGGAGGAGGGAGAGGUUGGGGAAGAACUCCAGCAACACGACGGCGUGGUGUCGAUGGAGAGACGAGGUCUCCCGGCAGGGCUUCGCCAAGCACCGGCAGAGAGGAGGAGGAAGAAGAGCAGGGCUGCGCCGAGAGAGAGGGAAAAACCGUGUAUCUCAAUGGCCAAAAGUGCCCGAUAUAUAUAGGGGGAGGGGAGAGGGGGUGCCACCCCUAGGGUUCCCACCCUAGGGGGUGCGGCAGNNNNNNNNNNNNNNNNNNNNNNNNNNNNNNNNNNNNNNNNNNNNNNNNNNNNNNNNNNNNNNNNNNNNNNNNNNNNNNNNNNNNNNNNNNNNNNNNNNNNGCAGCCUGACGACGUCGUCGAGUUCGUCGCUUGCCGCACCGGGCAGGAGAACGAGAGGAAGAAGAAGAGAAAUGGACGAUUUGGGUUCGAAAUUUUCUAACUCCCGCUUAUACAGGUGGAUCUUUAGUCCCGGGUGGAGCCACGAACCGGGACUAAAGACCCCUUUAGUCCCGGGUGGAGCCACGACCCGGGACUAAAGACCCUUUUUCGGGCAGACCAGAAGGCGGGAAACAGGGGCCCUUAGUCCCGGGGCAUGGCUCCAACCGGGACUAAAGGGGAUCUUUAGUCCCGGGUGGAGCCACGACCCGGGACUAAAGGCCCUUUUUGGGCAGACAAGAAGGCGGGAAGCAGUGGCCUUUAGUCCCGGGGCGUGGCAAGAACCGGGACUAAAGUUUUGCCUAUAUAAACCCUCGCCCCUGCCCGCCAUAUCCCCUGUUUUUUGGUUGUUGAAGUGUGACCAUGCCAUGCUCUUUCCACUCUAGUUCAUGCACAUGACGUGUUCGAUGAAAUUCCCGAGCCACUCUACUUCAGCUUUCUCCUCUCCAAGCUCCAUUUUCCUUAAUAUUUGUCUAGGUUUGGCCGUGCACCAACUGCGAGCACCACCGUGGUGAGCCUCUUGUUCUUAUCUUCUUUUUAAAAUCAAAAAAAUCUUACUUGUAUCAUUUAGAUACAUACUUGUAUAAAUUACUCACUUUCAUUAUUUUUUGUUAUUAUAUAGUGCGAUGGUUUUGGUAUCCGCCUCCGUCGGCCCUCGUCCUGUCUAUGAUUCGGAUGUGGUAUAUAUUAUCUUUUAUAACUAUUUGUUUUAUUUAGUGUUUAUGACAAUUAUGACGACCAAUGUGACAUAUAUUUUUUUUAAUCUAGGAGGUAUGUGAACCGGAAAUUCCAACCCACAUAAAAAUUCUUGUCGAGAAGUUAAAUUUGGUUGAAAAAGAAAACAAAUACUUGAAAAAAAUCUGAAAAUAAUUGAGGAUAAGAAUAUGGAACUGGAGUUGCAUGUCGCCGAUGUCAUCGAUGAUCGCAAGAUGAAGAUCCAUGCGAUGCGGUUGAAGAUGGAUGCAAUGCGCUUGAAGAUGGAUGAAAUGCGCUUGAAGAUUAGGAAUAUUAGAAAAUAUGCCAUUGAUAAAGAGGCUUAGUAUCAUUAUGCUGUUGGGUCAAUUGUUACCUUAGUUGCGAUUUUGAUCGCGUUUGUUGUUGCAUUUAAAUGUUUUACAUAGUUGUAUGUUGUUUUAUUAGAGAACUUUAUGUAUUUAUUUUUUGCAAUAAUAACAUUUGAUCACUACUGUUCUUUGGCUUUAAUGUGAUGAUGAACUUGUAUUAAUUUGGUCAUAUGUUCUGCAAUGGUUUUUUGAACUUAUUUGAACUCCAUACUUUUUGUGUGUUCAAAAUGCAUCAUUCAAAGGCACAUCACAAAAUUUCAACAAUUUCUGACUUCAUUUGGUAUAUUUGGUGCAUUUACUUGUUUUUUUGAGCUAGUUGACCCUGAAAUUGAAAAGCGCUACAAAUGAACUCUGAAAAUGUUGAAAGUUUGCAUGCUAUCAUCAUUUCACCCACAUAGCAUGUGUUAAAAAGUUGAGAGGGCUACGACAAAAACUGGAUGCACUUCGUUUACAAAACGGACAAUCUCUCUCGAAGUAUCAGGGUUUCGAACGAGAACNNNNNNNNNNAUACUUCGUGUACAAAACGGACAAUCUCUCUCGAAGUAUUAGGGUUUCGAACGAGAACUCAUCUCUUACAAAGGGAUUUCAUUUUUUGAACUUAUUUGAACUCCAUACUUUUUGUGUGUUCAAAAUGAAUCAUUCAGAGGCACAUCACAAAAUUUCAACAAUUUCUGACUUCAUUUGGUAUAUUUCAUGCAUUUACUUAUUUUUUUGAGCUAGUUGACCCUGAAAUUGAAAAGCACUACAAAUGAACUCUGAAAAUGUUGAAAGUUGGCAUGCUAUCAUCAUUUCNNNNNNNNNNAAUGUGUUAAAAAGUUGAUAGGGCUACGACAAAAACUGGGUGCACUUCGUGUACAAAACGGACAAUCUCUCUCGAAGUAUCAGGGUUUCGAACGAGAACUCAUCUCUUACAUGGAUACUAUGAAAAUGAAAAGUGUUUGAAAUUUAGUACAUUCCAUACAUGCAUUACAUAAAAGGUUUAAUACAUUAUUACAUUAUUGCACCAAUAUUCCUAUCUAUUAUUUCUGUUUUCUUCUGGGUCGUAGCCAUGGAGAAUCUUCAUCAUUCAGUAGGAUGCUUGGGUCAGUUUUCACUUUGAAGGGCGGAAUUUCAUGAAACUUAUUAUAAUCUUCUGACAUGUCUAUCUUGUCAUCUACUCCCACGAUGUUUCUUUUCACUGAAAGAACUAUGUGGCAUUUUGACUCAUCGGACGAUAUCUUCUUUUGCUGAUUUCUUUUUCUCGUUAAUGUAGACAUGUCCUUCACAUAGAAAACCUGAGCGACAUCAUUGGCUAGGACAAAUGGUUUGUCCAUGUACGCAAGAUUGUUGAGAUCCACUGUUGUCAUGCCGUACUUUUGGUGUACAACUACCCCGCCUCCUGUCAGCUUCACCCAUUUGCACCGAAACAAAGGGAUCUUAAAAGUAGGUCCAUAGUCAAGUUCCCAUAUCUCCUCUAUGUACCCGUAAUAUGUUUCCAAACAGUGCCCAUUCUCGUCUGUUGCAUCAAAGCGGACACCACUAUUUUGGUUGGUGCUCUUUUUAUCUUGGGCAACCGUGUAAAAUGUACUCCCAUUUAUCUCAUACCCUUGGAAAGUACAUAUAGUCGAAGAUGGUGGCCUGGCCAAACAGUACAACUCAUCUUCAACGGUGUUAUCAUUCAUGAGAUGUGUCUGCAACCAACUGCCGAAAGUCUUCUCGUGUUCCCCUUUAAUCCAAGAGUCAGCCUUCCCCGGGUUUUCGGAGCGUAGAAUAUUCUUGUGUCUCACGAUAUAUGGAACCACCACGGUGGAAUUGUGUAGAACUGUGUAGUGUUCUUGAGAGAAAGAAUGCCCGUCCAUACAUACUUUUGCUUUCCUUCCUAGUGUGCCUUUUCCUGUCAGCCUACCCUCAUACCGAGAUUCAGGAACACCAAUCGGCUUAAGGUCAGGAAGAAAGUCCACACAAAACUCAAUGACCUCCUCUGUUCUAUAGCCCUUGGAGAUGCUUCCUUCUGGCCUAGCACGGUUACGAACAUAUUUCUUUAAGACUCCCAUGAACCUCUCGAAGGGGAACAUAUUCUGUAGAAACACAGGACCAAGAAUUCUAAUCUCUUCGACUAGGUGAACUAGGAGGUGUGUCAUUAUAUUGAAGAAGGAUGGAGGGAACAACAACUCAAAGCUGACCAGACAUUGGACCACAUCAAUCUGUAACCCUGAUAGACUUUCUCGAUCGAUUACCUUCUAAGAAAUUGCAUUGAGGAAUGCACAUACCUUCACAAUUGCCAGGCGAACAUUUUCCGAUAGAAUUCCCCUCAAUGCAACCGGAAGCAAUUGCGUCAUAAGCACGUGGCAGUCAUGAGACUUUAGGUUUUGGAAUUUUUUGUCUUUCAUAUUUACGAUUCCCUUUAUAUUCGACGAGAAGCCAGUCGGGACCUUGAUACUGAACAGGACUUCGAAGAAGAUUUCCUUCUCUUUCUUAGUAAGAGCGUAGCUGGCACGCCCUUGAAACUGCCCUGGAUGCAUGCCAUCUCUUCCUUUAUGACGUUCCUGGUCCUCCCGUGCUUCCGGUGUAUCUUUUGACUUCCCAUACAAGCCCAAGAAGCCUAGAAUAUUCACGCAGAGAUUCUUCGUCAGGUGCAUCACGUCGAUUGCCGCGCGGACCUCAUGGACUUCCUAGUAGGGUAGCUUCCAAAAUAUAGAUUUCUUCUUCCACAUGGGUACGCGCUUAUCAGGGCCGUUAGGAACAGGUUGGCUGCCAGGACCCUUUCCAAAGAUUACUUUUAAAUCUUUGACCAUAUCAAAUACUUCAGCACCAGUACGGAUGACAGGCUUCCCCCGGGGUUCUGCCUUGCCAUUGAAAUGCUUGCCUUUUUUCUUUAAGGGAUGCUUGGGCGGAAGAAAACGACGAUUGUACGGAUACACAUUCUUCCUACAGUUGUCAAGAUAUAUACUUUCUGUCUGAUCCAAAUAGUGCGUGCAUGCAUUGUAUCCCUUGUUUGACUGUCCUGAAAUGUUACUAAGAGCAGGCCAAUCAUUGAUGGUUACGAAAAGCAACGCUCGAAGGUCAAAUUCCUCUUGUUUGUGCUCGUCCCACACACGUACACCUGGUUCGACCCACAGCUGUAAAAGUUCAUCAACUAAUGGCCUUAGGUACACAUCAAUAUCGUUGCCGGGUUGCUUUGGACCUUGUAUAAGCACUGGCAUCAUAAUGAACUUCCGCUUCAUGCACAACCAAGGAGGAAGGUUGUAGAUACAUAGAGUAACGGGCCAGGUGCUGUAACUGCAACUCUGCUCCCCAAAAGGAUUCAUGCCAUCUGUACUCAGACCUAACCAUAAGUUCCUUGCGUCAGCUGCAAAUCUCGGGAACUCUCUCUCGAUUUUUCUCCACUGCCGACCAUCAGCGGUGUGCCUCAACGUAUCGUCUUUCAUAGGAUCUUCCAUGUGCCAUCGCAACAACUUCGCAUGAUCUUUAUUUCUGAACAGACGUUUCAACCGUGGUAUUAUAGGAGCAUACCACAUCACCUUGACAGGAACCCUCUUCCUGGGUGGCUCGCCCUCAAUAUCACCAGGGUCAUCUUUUCUGAUCUUAUACCGCAAUGUAGUGCAUACCGGGCAUUUAUCCAUAUUCUCGUACUUCUCACCGCGGUAGAGGAUGCAGUCAUUAGGGCAUGCAUGUAUCUUCUGCACAUCUAAUCCUAGAGGGCAGACAAGCUUUUUUGCUUCAUACGUGUUGGCGGGCAAUUCGUUCUUUCUUGGAAGCAUCUUCUUCAUCAGUACCAGCAACUUUUCGAAUGACGAGUCAGUCACACCGGUCUCUGCCUUCCACUUCAGCAAUUCCAGUGUGCUACCCAGCUUCUUCUGGCCAUCUUUACAAGUUGGGUACAACAAUUUGUUGUGGUCCUGUAACAUCUGCUCGAACUGCAACCUCUCCUUUUCUGUGUCGCAACCUCGCCGUGCAUCAGAAAUGACCCGGCCAAGAUCAUCAGCGGGCUCAUCUGGUUCCCGUUCUUCAUCCUGAUCUUCUUCUUCAUUGUGUUCCAUUGCGGUAUCAACAUACUCAGGGAACAUAGAUCGGUAGUUGUCAUCAUCGUUCUCUUCUUCUUCAUCGUCGUCUUCCAUCAUAACCCCUCUUUCUCCGUGCUUGGUCAAUACAUUAUAGCCCGACAUAAAACCGGACCGAAGCAGGUGGCUCUGAAUGACUAUUGAGGAAGUGUAAUCCUUCUCAUUCUGACAUUCAACACAUGGACAAAACAUAUAGCCACCACCACGCUUGUUCGCAUCGGCUGCAUCUCGAAAAGAAUGCACGCCUUCUCUGUAAGCGGUUGUGCGUCGAGCAUCGUACAUCCAUGGAUGGCUCAUCUCUGCGUUAUACGACAGUAUAUCAAAUACAAUCACGAUCCUAAAAAUUAGUACCGCACGGUCUAAACGAGGAAAUAUAGUUGCUAACCUUUUAGANNNNNNNNNNNNNNNNNNNNNNNNNNNNNNNNNNNNNNNNNNNNNNNNNNNNNNNNNNNNNNNNNNNNNNNNNNNNNNNNNNNNNNNNNNNNNNNNNNNNACUUUCACCCCCGCGAGAGCUCAAACCGCUUCCAUGGAUGGUCCCAUCAAAGAUGCAGAACUAUUGCCUGCACCAUCGGCAUUUGCCGCCGGCCUCGUCCCAGCUGAAACGUCCUGCAACGGUGGAAUAGGAUCGGUCCUAGGUGGAUCCCAACACGGGUAUGCCCGUCUCCCACCCCCGCGCCCACCAUGAUUCAGGCGCUGCACCGGUCACUAGCGGAAUAGUGGACCCUUAACACCCUCGACAAACUGGCCAGGAGGGCCAUUGAAUCCCCAGCCACCUCCAUCACCUCGGCCACCGCCGUUGGAAAAAGAACCAGGGUGCAUGCCAUCACCUCUCCAUGAGGCAUUGAAGUUGUUGUUACCCCACUGCCCGCGAUUGUAGUGAUGUCCACCCCCCGCCUGCGUUGAGAAACCUUUGGCCCAGACCAAAUUCCUCGCGUCCGCGGCCAGCCCCAUGUGCGCGAGCAUUUGCGGCCGCCGCCCGACCGUCCCUAGCAGGAGGUGGAGGUCGUUCGGUUUCUGCCUUACCCGGCGGGGCCCCUGACGGUACGAAAAUGGCCUACCGCCGCAAGGGCUGGAGAUAGCAUGUGUAACCCUACCGCCAAGGGGUCCGGCGGUAGGCUCGCACGCGCACUGUGUUUGCAACUUAGAAUUUUUUUUGUGGUAGGUGUGUAACCCUACCACCAGGACCUCUGCGAUAAGUUGUUAUACCCUACCGCCAAGGGGUCCGGCGGUAGAAAAAGGAUCAGAUCCAAUUUUUUUCCUUACUAGGGUCAGAUCCGGCUGAACUUAGGCAAAAGAAAAUUUGCCUAAACUAGCCCCGGGUUUGCCGCCCUAUCUAGCUUGGAGGGCUUGACGUUCAUGGCCUACAUCGCGCUGGCAUCUCGCUCCAUGCAAGAUGGAUUUGUAUGCAACGGGUUGAGAGCAUCUCCCAUCCCCCACGCGCCAUGGCCCAAACGCGUCGCCGAUCGUGCGGACUUCUACUUCCUGACACCUUGGGGAUGGCUCCUUAUGCCGCUUCUGGACUGACCACUGGCUUCACGGUUGUACCAUUACCGAAAUUACAUCGUUCAUUCACGACUUGGUCCCCCGUCGAAGGCACACGCUGCAGACGGUGCAACAUGUUUUGCACGAGCGCGCGUGGAUCAGAGAAAUCAUGGGCAUGCUUGAUCCGGCGGCUCAGGUGGUGCAGUACGUUGAGCUACGGAGGACUCUAUAUUACUCCCUCCGUCCGAAAUUACUUUUCAUGAAAAUGAAUACAAAUGGAUGUAUCUAGAAUUAAAAUACAUCUAGAUACAUCCAUUCCCAUGACAAGUAUUUCCGGACGGAGAGAGUAUAUCAUUCUCUCCCCCACCCCCGAUCGGCUUACUUGGAGACGGACGGAGUCUGACACCUACUCUCUCACGUCCUGCUACUAUGUCAUGUUUCACAAUUCUUUUGAGGACCUUGACUGGUGGAUCGCCUGGAAGACCAGGUCUCUACCGCAUAUCAAGGUCUUCAUUUCGCUCGCCCUGCUAAACCCCUACAUGACACGGCCUUCUAUAUGCGCCGCUUUGCCUCUUCCGUGACCAGGAGACCAAGAGCAUGCACCACCUUCUUGUUGCUUCCUCCUUCUCGUCUUCUCGAGGCAACUAUAGCAUGAGCUUCUCUCAUGGUGUUGGUGCACCUCUGCUCCACCGCUACAGGAUGAUCGUUUCCAGGUUUCGUGGUCUCCCACUUGCGUUGCAGCGCCUCCGUUAGCUCGCAAGGGGCUCUCCUCCCUACUCCUUCUUGGCGCAUGGCUGAUCUUGAAACAUCGUAAUGACAUCAUGUUCGAUGGCGAUGCCCCCUCCCUCCCACAUCUGAUUAGCCUCAUCAUCGGCGAAGCCUGCCUAGGCUGUCGCUAGCAAUAAUGGCAUGGCCAACAUCUUGCCCGAGUAGUCUCCAUGUGGUGAUGUAACACCUCCUCUCUCUCCCCUAGCACAUUCCGGACUCGGACUUCUGAUGGGGUUCUUGUAUUCUUUCCCUACUAUUAAUCAAAAGAUACGCAGGUUCUUGCGUAUUCGAGUAAUGGUUUUGUCUCAUUUACUCGUGAUGUUGCCUCACCUCCGCCAUUAUCGGAUUGAAACUAGCUAACAAGUUGACCAGCCGACAUCCCAAUCGCACAGUAUGUGUUCGGUAGGGUGAAUGAGCUCCUAAGUUCUCAACACAAGGCUUUUUUGACUGUUUGGUAGGAUGUAUGGGCUCACCUCGACUAUAUCCAUCAAAUGCAAAAAGGCCUCUCACCGUGUUGAGUUAAGCACACCCACAUGCAUGGAAGCAGCCACGACUCUCAAAAAAUGUUCAGUACUUAAAGUUUUGUUUAAAUUCUCACAAAAAAUUAGAAAUUCAUUUUUGUUUCAGUUUUUAAAAAAUGUUCAGAAUUUAAGUAUUUAUUCAGAUCUACACAAAAUGUUCAGAAUCUAAAAUAUUAUUUAAAUUCCCAAAAACCAUAUUUAAAAUUUGUUUAAAUUCUCAGCAAAGUUCCAUAAAUUCAAAAACAAAUCAAACAUAUUCAAAAUUUGUUUAGAUUUCCCAAAAAUGUUCAGAAUUUCAAUUUUUAUAUAUAUCUUCAAAAAAUAUUUAGGAUUUUGACCUUUGCUUAAAUUCUCAAAAAAAUAGAAUUUCGAUAUUUGUUUAAAUUCUCGAAAAAAUCAGAAUUUCAAAACUGUAUCAAAAAAAUGUUCUGAUUUCUAAUUUUUGUUAAAUUCUCAAAAUGUAUUCAGAAUUUCAUUUCUUCAAAAUUCUCCAGGAAAAUCGUAAUUUUAAAUUAAAAAUAAACAGAAUAAAAAGCAAUUUUCAAAAAAUGUUCAGAAUUUCAAAUUUGGUUUACAUUUUUAAAAAUGUUCAGAAUUUCAAUUUUUUAAAAAUUCUCAGAAAAUAUUCAAAUUUUGAAAUAUAUUUAAAUUACCUGAAAUUGUUUUGAAUUUGAAAUAUAGAAAAGUUAAAUUCGUUCACAAUUUGAAAAAUGACCAAAAUUUCAAAUUUUGCUUAAAUUCUGAAAAAAUCAGAAUUUAUACAAAUAAAUGUACAUAAUUCUCAUAAUUUCGAAAUUGGUUUACAUUCUCAAACAAACACAGAAUUUCAGAAUUUUCUGAAUUCAAUUUUUGUUUAAAUUUCCCAAAACAGAAUUCCAAAAUGUGUUUAAAUUUUCAAAAGCAUAUUUACAAAUAUAUUUUUUUUAAAUCAAAAUUACAAAAUGUGUUUAAAUUUUUGUUGAUGUUUUUCAAUAUUCGUUCAUCAUAUAAAAACAUAUUCAAAAUUCAAAUUUGCUCAACAUGUUUAAACACAUGCAGGUUGCCAAACGAAGUCUCGGCUCAGUAUGUCUCAGUAUAUACAUCGCUACCAAACAAUAUCAAAUGCAUGUACUCAACAUGUCAUAAAGAGGAACAACAAUGUUACUCAGCAUGUCAUAAAGAGGAACAACAAUGUUACGGUGGGAACUACUGCCAAACAAACCCAAAAGCGGCAGCCAACCCGAUGCCGGUAGUGACCAUCCUCUGAGGCAUGACUUAAGCACGACUUAGAGCGUGGUUAAUAAUAUAGCCAAAAAUCGGUUAUAAGGACUUGUCAUGUCAUAUAGAGUCAACCUAAUAGCCAGCAUAUACAAUAGUAAGUUUUAGAUGUGUACUAUAUUAAUAGUAGUUGGUCCACCUUAUAAUCUCACAAAGUGUCUUGGGUCUCGUGCUGCAGUUGGCUACUCACCAAGAGCGUGUUUGAUUACAUUGGCAAUCGAACCUGGCCCGGCUAGCCUCGCUCUAGUGAGCCGGUUUGAGGGGAUGCAGGCAAAAAAAAACCAGAUGCACAUAGUUUGGUUGCCUGCAUGUACCUUAGUUGCAUGAGACAACCAUUUUUAACCCGACGUUUGGUUGCCCGCAUUACAUUAGGCGCACAUAUGACAUGGUGUUUGGUUGCAACCUGCAUAUGUUGUUGUCACCACUUCUAACUAGUGGUGAUUUUACCACACACAAUCUGAACAUUAGUGCCAGCUAGUUCAAAUGACAGCUAAUCCUAACUACUAUCAAAUGACAGAACAAAUUAUUAAGAGCCAUUGACUAAAUAGGGGAUAGUUCAUCGGUGUUGCUGCUACCAGAUCUUCCUCUUCAUCUUCCUCUUCCUCUGCUUCUGCUUCUUCUUCUUCCUCUUCUUCAAAUCAUGCACUGACCUCUGUUAAGCCACAUUACCUCUGCCCACUCCAACCUUUUGUUCUUCCAAGCUUCAUUGCCAAAUGCCUCCACACCAUGGCCGGAGCUAACAACAUGGUUAGGCUCGACCUCUUCCUCCUCAGGCACGUGUUCGUCAAAGCCCCACUGAAGGAUCCAGUUAUGCAUAAUGCAACAAGCAAGAACAAGCUUAACCUGAGUGGGGUAUGGGUGGAAUGGCUUCUGAUCCAGGAUCCUAAAACUAUUCUUCAGAGCUCCAAAUGCCCUCUCACGGUUACUCUAAGGCUGGAGUGUGUGAGAUUAAACAGCUCCUGUGCAGUCCUAGGAUAAUUCCUACCACUGAACUCGUUGAGAUGGUACCUGGUUUUCCUGAAGGGUGGAAGAACACCCGACCGACAUGCAUAGCCAGCAUGUCCAAGGUAGAACUUGUCGUCGGGGAUGUUGGUCCCAUCAGGUCGAGUCAUGCUGUCACUGAGAAUGUUAGCAUCAUGCGCUGGCCCCUCCCAGCCAGCCAACACAUAUGUGAGCUUCAUAUCAAAGUCAACAGCAGCAAGCACAUUCUGGCUUGUGUAGUGCUUCCUCCCUCUGUAUGCUGCAGACUGUGACCUAGGAACUCUCGAGUGACAUGAGUACCAUCUAUUGCCCCAAUGCAAUCCUAAAAAUGGCAUCACAAGCCUGUGUUAGUGCUCAACUUGAACAAUACAAGCAUAUCAACCCAUGAAAAGUGUAUAUUGUCAGUGCUCACCUUGAAGUAUGGAUACCAUCUUGGGCUUCCUCGAAUCUUGGGUGGAGUCCGGCCAGAUGGUCUCCUGAUAAUCUCUCCUCUAAGCUCCCCAACAGCAAAAAGCACCUCCUUGAAGUACCUAGAGAUGGUCUCCAUUGGUCUCCUGAACGUGUUGUGAAUGACCCUGAACCUCUGGUUAUGGCCAACAACAUGGAGGAACAUUGCCACUUGCUCUUCCAGACAGGUGUUGAUGUUAUCUUGUAGCAGCCCCCUGAUCCUGAAGGUCUCGACAAGCCUGGCAAAUGGUGCUCUUUUCAUUCGAAGCAUCCACAGAGCCUCGACGUCAUUGCAGUUGUAGAUGUAGUUCAAAUUUUGGAUCCUUUCCUGAUCCCGGAUAAACAUUGGACCAUAGCAGAUCAAAGGUCUUCCAACACGACGAACAACUCUCUGGUGCAUGAACAUGACACAUGCCUGAAUCACACUUAUCAGUGCUGCUGCCUGAAAUAUCGGACUCAUCCGUCGUCCAUAACCUAGUCGACAUUGAUGGUUCGUUCAGUGGAAAUCGAUCCUACACCUUGCCUAACGGCCUAACCACCAACCUAACAAAGGGGGGAGGGGUGCUGCUUACCGGCAUCGGAGACGAGGACGGCCUAGGGUGAGCCAUGGCCAACAGCAAUUGGAGCACCAGAUCCGCCGCAAACGUCGCCGCCUUUUCCACCACCGCCGCCGCCUUUAGCGCAGAUCUGAAAUCGCAGCCGCCGCCGGUGGUGAGGUAGUAGGGAAGAAAGGGGCUAUGGGUGAGCGAGUAGAAAGGGGGGUGAGGCUAAUUUGGUGCCGGGGUGGCCAGAUUUCCAUCUCCCGCCAUCCCCCUCGCCCUCGCAUCGCACCCGUCCGUGCGACCUCACGCCGCACUCAGCCUGGCUCGAUUGAAACUGCCGAUCCGAUCGUUUCCAGCGAGCCAGGCUCUGGGCUGCUUUGAGAAGCGUGCGAUGCAGGCCCAACAGUGAAACCAAGCAACCAAACAUGCCUCUUCCUUCCCGCGCGGGCCUGGUUGGGCUCGAUGCGGGGAACCAAACGCGCCCCAAGAGCACGCUUCUCUUCACUCUCCUCCUCUCUCUCUUUCAACUAAGCAAGGAUAUAAUAUUCUAAUUUUUAUAACCUGCUUAUGUCACCUUAUUGUACUUGCUCUUAAGCUAAGAGCAUGGACCGGAGAGAGGAUGGCGGCAUGCAAGCCACAAAAGGAGAGUGAGACGAUGGCGACCUGGACGAAAGGUUCCCUAUUUUGAUUGGUCAUGUGCUCACCCUGCCAAAACAAGGGCGCGCCAAUUAUUGGCAAACGUUUUAGCCGUCAUGUGGAUCGCCGUUGCAGGCGCAGAAUACAACAGGGUGACCAAAAUAUCGGUAGAAAUUCGAAAUUUUGGAAGCUAACCAAACAUGAGCAGAGCGUAUGGGUCAAACAUGAGCAGAGUAAAUAAACUGGUAGGACCAGUACUAAUCAGUAAUCACCGUAUUCCCCUCUAGAAAAGACAUCACGAUAUUCCCUGUACCGUCCACAGAUAUUUGCAUACACAUUCACAGUUCAACUAAACCUCGAGAUACAAAUGAAGAACCUAACGAGCAAUGUCAUGUCUAUUCGCAGGUUCAAUCCGCAGAUAUCUGCAUACGCAUUCACAGUUCAACUAAACCUGACGAGCAAUGUUAUGUCUAUUCGCAUGUUCGUGUAAUACGUCCAUCAUAGGCACACCAAUAUGUCUGACAACCAUAUUAUGUAGUAACGCAACCAAAAUGAGAUUUCACCGGUACGAAGUGGUUUAUCACACAUGAAGCAUCAUGCCGUUGCCGCCGACCUGAAAAAGGAGUGGUGAGGUGAAAGAUGAUUAGAACCAUGCAACCGAGGCAUGAUUACAUAUGUGAAAUCAUCCGCACAAAAUAUUUCUGAGAUGCAUCUACGUAAGCUUUCAUGCUGGUACAAAAUAUAAAGCUAAGGUUUUCACUUCUGAGUUCUGACUCCAAUAAACAGACAGCAGUUAGUUUAGAGAACAAGGAGGUAACCAAAUAGUACAUGCUACCGGAAUAUGCUUUCACCCAAAACACACAGAGAACAGAGGUGGAGCCGAAAUACUUGUAUGCAUCAAAUGGUUUCGUGUGUAUAUCGGUAUAUACAGCUACUUGAAUCUGCUAAUAAUCAUGCUAAUCAAACUAUAGCAAAAAGAAUGAGCGAACACUGAACAAUUACUAAUAUAACAUAAUCAGCGCAAACACAGGCCAAGCAAGGGCACAACCAAAAUUUGAUUCUCCACAGAAGACUAGGAGCUUACUUUGACCAUCUCACAAAAUUUGCCAAAAAUUGGCAAAUCUUGGAGUUGCAAUAUUUUUUGCUACCAACCAAUCAUGCUCUAGAAAUUGUUCAUCCACAGCUGUUCGAGUUUCAGUGUUAUUCAAAGUCAUGUUGCAGAUAUAGCUUAUUAGGCAUUUCUCUACUCAGAUUUGUUUAGCUAGACUCAGUUAUACAAAAUUUAUAAUCACCAAGUGAAUAUCAAAGGGGGGACGGGUGAAUAACAAUGCUAGUAGGCAGUAGUACAUGAAUGAAUGAAUACUUAGCAAUGCAGAUUUUCCUUUGUUGUACUUCAAACAGUAAUAAUCUGUUUGCUAGCAGAUAUGUCAACUGAUCUUUUUAGAUCUUCAGUCAGGCUGCAUUUAUAGCAGAUUAGGCAUUUUUCUCAUGAACAUUAAUUUGCUAAUACAAAUGUUUUUAUACUAUAUUAAAAAAAACAAAAGGAAGUGUCAAUGUACAAAAGAAGAUGAUAAGGAAUGCAAACAUAUGGUCUAUCAAACUUUUUGUAAUGACAAACAAAAUUUCAGUAAAAGGGAUAUUAUUUGAUGCAUUCAGAACUUUGUACGAAGGGAACAUGAAGAUACUCGUUAUACCAGGCAAUUUCACCCGGGUAACCACAUAAUGCUCACUCACAUCCUAAUUGUCACUCAAAUCGAUUGCAACUGUACCAUCUACCAGCACCCACUAACAAGAACCACCAAUGAAGAAAGAGUAUUCAAGUUUUUCACUAAGCACGGGAAAGAGGAAGAACUUCAUUCUGCCACAGCUUGACAUACAGACUCAUCAUCUAUGAGAAGGCAAUGAAGUAGAGCCUGGAGAAAACAUCCAGGAGACAGAGAUUCAUGGAAGCAUGACGGGAGGCUGCUAGGUGGGCAAUAGUUGAACAAAUGGUUGUAGAGAGAAUCAUAGAGUUCUCUCUUGAAAUUUUGUACUUGAGAAAUGGUAAUAAAAGUUAAAGUGAGACAUUUUCGUAACAGAACAGUUCAGAUGCCUCAACUUGCAUGCAGGGGUUAAGCUUACCUGCUCAAACAGAAUAAUCCUCUUAUGCUUUGUUUCCAUCGUUUCCACCACGAGCGCCUCACAGGUUCAGGUUCAAGUUCAGGUUCAGGUUCCUCUUGUCCACCACCAAUGCCUGUUAUACAUGCAUAAGAAGUCAAACGACCAAUGGCAUUCCAGAGAAAAGGGCCAAAUAGACACAAGGAUGCACAAACAAGAUACUUGGAUCAACUCACAGCUGUAAUUUAAGAAACGAAAUAUUUUUGAUAAAAAAAUGGAUGGAUAAGCAGAACCACACCCGCUGUCAAAUUCAAAGAAUAUUCUGAAAACAGUAGAUGCUCAUUAUAUCAUAGAAGUGAAGAACAUGCACACUUGGACUGUUAUCUGAUCACAAAAGAAGGGGAGUUGUCUAGAAUUAUCUUAUUUUCGUUCCACUCCAUACCGAAUAACACAAAAUAAUUCCUACCAACAGAAGUGAUCAUGAUCAUUUAGAUUCAGAUUAUCGUUUAAAAAAAUAGCCUGAAAAGAUGAACUGAACUUGAUUUAUUAACUUUGCCUGGUACAUAUCUCAUCUUGAAAAGAGAAAAACUGCACUGCAGCUAUGCGCUAACGCUGUGAUUAUACAUCUCUUGCACAUUUCAGUAGGCAGGCAACUAUGUAAUUCAGUUCAAUUAUCAUACAACGAAUUAGCCAACCUUGGUGUUGACCGUAUCGCAUUUCAUACCAUCUAUAUAUCAUGUUUAACUGAUGUGGGGUCAAUCCCCUAGCGAUAGUUCAAAGUUGGAUGAUAAAACAACAAUAUUAGAAACAACAUUUGCAGGUAUGGAGGAGAUAUGUUGCAGAGGCCAUGAAGCAGCGAAAGAAACAAGUGAUAUUAAUGCUACCUAAAAUGGCCAGCUUAACACAAAAGGAUAUAAACAACAUUUAAUCAGCCAAUUAUGAUAGAACAACUCAAUUUUGUCACAACCACUGUGAAAAGGCAUGCUAGUACCUGGGGUAUAGACUGUUUCGAAUGGAUGAUGAUGAUAACCAGAGAUGCCGGUCUCAGAAAGUCUCUUGAGCUCCAGUGACUUGAGGUGGAACGUGAAGACACCAAGAACUGUCCAGAAGAAGGCCACAUUGUUUUCCUCCGCAUAACAUAACAUAAGCGGGUUCUCUGGCUCUGGGGGAAGUAAGCUGUCCAAAUCAACAGUUCUUCCAGGCAUCCAUGAACCAACACCAUCACAGUCUGUCUCCCACCUCCAUAACUGGGCAGUGAAGCCAACCACGUCGAGGAAACCCAUCGCACCACCCUCUCCCCGAAUGACCGCGCACUGCUGACUGCUGCCGUGAAGCAUGCCCGGUGGAACCACUGUCGAAGCUAGGCUCUGCCUGCCCAAAUCGAACUCCAGGAUAGUCGUCAGAGAAAUCAGCCAGUAAAUGCGAUCCCCAGCCAGCACAGAGGGCGCGGAAUGAAGCAUGGUCGCGUACGGAAGCUCCGCGGAGAUGAAAUCACCCCAUAAGCCGGUGUCCGAGGAGUAAACGCAGGCGCGCGCUGGCCCUCUCCCGUCGCUGGUCGCCAGGACCACCUGGAAGCGGUCGGCGGCGUCGUCUCCGGUGGCGCCGCGAAGCACCGCCCCGUUGAUCGGGUUGUGCAAAGGGUCGGGCUCGAACCCCUGGGGAAUGUCGAGGCGGUGGCGGGCGCCGGCGAGGGGGUCCCAGACGAGGACCUGGUAGGAGGCCUCGGAGUAGAAGAGCGCGAGGCCGUGGCGCCACCCGAGGGUCUCGUAGCCGGCGCCGAGGGCGAGGGAGAAGUGGCNNNNNNNNNNNNNNNNNNNNNNNNNNNNNNNNNNNNNNNNNNNNNNNNNNNNNNNNNNNNNNNNNNNNNNNNNNNNNNNNNNNNNNNNNNNNNNNNNNNNGAUGAGGUUGAAGCGUCGUUUGAUGUGUCUGGUCUUCUUGUGAAACCGUGGUUCCUUUGCUAAGGCAAUGGCACCACUGUUGUCACAGAACAAGGUUAUUGGAUUCAGUGUGCUUGGCACCACUCCAAGAUCCGUCAUGAACUGCUUCAUCCAGACACCCUCCUUAGCCGCCUCCGAAGCAGCCAUGUACUCCGCUUCACAUGUAGAAUCUGCUACAACGCUUUGCNNNNNNNNNNUGGCCGUGGAAGAGGUUUAGUCAGCGGGUCUGCUACAUUCAGAUCCGUGUGCACUUUGCAUAUAUUUACGUCCUCCCCUUCGACGUAGUCGCGGAUGAGGUUGAAGCGUCGUUUGAUGUGUCUGGACUUCUUGUGAAACCGUGGUUCCUUUGCUAAGUCAAUGGCACCCGUGUUAUCACAGAACACGGUUAUUGGAUUCAGUGCGCUUGGCACCACUCCAAGAUUCGUCAUGAACUGCUUCAUCCAGACACCCUCCUUAGCCGCCUCCGAGGCAGCCAUGUACUCCGCUUCACAUGUAGAAUCUGCUACGACGCUUUGCUUGGAACUGCACCAGCUUACCGCACCCCCAUUAAGAAUAAAUACGUAUCCGGUUUGCGACUUAGAGUCGUCCGGAUCUGUGUCAAAGCUUGCAUCGACGUAACCUUUUACGGCGAGCUCUUCGUCACCUCCAUACACGAGAAACAUCUCCUUAGUCCUUUUCAGGUACCUCAGGAUAUUCUUGACCGCUGUCCAGUGAUCCACUCCUGGAUUACUCUGGAACCUACCUGCCAUACUUAUGGNNNNNNNNNNUUCAGGAUAUUCUUGACCGCUGUCGAGUGAUCCACUCCUGGAUUACUCUGGAACCUACCUGCCAUACUUAUGGCCAGGCUAACAUCCGGUCUAGUGCACAACAUCGCAUACAUGAUAGAACCUAUGGCUAAAGCAUAGGGGACGGAGCGCAUAUGCUCUCUAUCUUCAUCAGUUGCUGGGCACUGAGUCUUACUCAAUCUCGUACCUUGUAGAACUGGCAAGAACCCUUUCUUGGACUGUUCCAUUUUGAACCUCUUCAAAACUUUAUCAAGGCAUGUGCUUUGUGAAAGUCCUAUCAGGCGUUUUGAUCUAUCCCUAUAGAUCUUAAUGCCUAGAAUGUAAGCAGCUUCUCCUAGGUCCUUCAUACAGAAACUUUUAGUCAAGUAAUCCUUUAUGCUCUCUAAAAACUCUACGUUGUUUCCAAUCAGUAAUAUGUCAUCCACAUAUAAUAUUAGAAACGCCACAGAGNNNNNNNNNNGGCGUUCUGAUCUAUCCCUAUAGAUCUUAAUGCCUAGAAUGUAAGUAGCUUCUCCUAGGUCCUUCAUAGAGAAACUUUUAUUCAAGUAAUCCUUUAUGCUCUCCAAAAACUCUACGUUGUUUCCAAUCAGCAAUAUGUCAUCCACAUAUAAUAUUAGAAAUGCCACAGAGCUCCCACUCACUUUCUUGCAAAUACAAGAUUCUCCAACCACUUGUAUAAACCCAAAUGCUUUGAUCANNNNNNNNNNGAGAAACUUUUAUUCAAGUAAUCUUUUAUGCUCUCUAAAAACUCUACGUUGUUACCAAUCAGUAAUAUGUCAUCCACAUAUAAUAUUAGAAACGCCACAGAGCUCCCACUCACUUUCUUGUAAAUACAAGAUUCUCCAACCACUUGUAUAAACCCAAAUGCUUUGAUCACCUCAUCAAAGCGUUUGUUCCAACUCCGAGAUGCUUGCACCAGUCCAUAAAUGGAUCGCUGGAGCUUGCACACCUUGUUAGCAUUCUUAGGAUCGACAAAAACUUCGGGUUGUAUCAUAUACAAUUCUUCCUUAAGGAAACCGUUAAGGAACGCCGUUUUGACAUCCAUCUGCCAGAUUUCAUAAUCGAAAAAUGCAGCUAUUGCUAACAUGAUUCUGACGGACUUAAGCAUCGCUACGGGUGAGAAUGUCUCAUCGUAGUCAACUCCUUGAACUUGUGAAAAACCCUUUGCCACAAGUCGAGCUUUAUAAACGGUCACAUUUCCGUCAGCGUCCGUCUUCCUCUUAAAGAUCCAUUUGUUCUGAAUGGCCUUGCGGCCCUCAGGCAGUCUCUCCAAAGUCCACACUUUGUUCUCAUACAUGGAUCCUAUCUCGGACUUNNNNNNNNNNACCGUCAGCGUCCGUCUUCCUCUUAAAGAUCCAUUUGUUUUGAAUGGCCUUGCGGCCCUCAGGCAGUACCUCCAAAGUCCAUACUUUGUUCUCAUACAUGGAUCCUAUCUCGGAUUUCANNNNNNNNNNAAGGUUUAUAAACGGUCACAUUGCCGUCAGCGUCCGUCUUCCUCUUAAAGAUCCAUUUGUUCUGAAUAGCCUUGCGGCCCUCAGGCAGUACCUCCAAAGUCCACACUUUGUUCUCAUACAUGGAUCCUAUCUCGGACUUCAUGGCUUCCAGCCAUUUGUUGGAAUCUGGGCCCACCAUUGCUUCUUCAUAAUUCGCAGGUUCAUUGUUGUCUAACAACAUGAUUGAUAAGACGGGAUUAUCGUACCACUCUGGAGCAGCACGUGGUCUCGUCGACCAGCGUGGUUCGACAGAAACUUGAACUGGAGUUUCAUGAUCAUCAUCAUUAACUUCCUCCUCAACCGGUGUCGCAAUGACAGGGGUUUCCCCUUGCCCUGCGCCACCAUCGAGAGGGAUGAGAGGUUCGACAACCUCGUCAAAUUCUAUCUUCCUCCCACUCAAUUCUCUCGAGAGAAACUCCUUCUCGAGNNNNNNNNNNCGAUAAGACGGGAUUACCGUACCACUCUGGAGCAGCACGUGAUCUCGUCGAUCUACGUGGUUCAACAGAAACUUGAACUGGAGUUUCAUGAUCAUCAUCAUUAACUUCCUCCUCAACCGGCGUCGCAAUGACAGAGGUUUCCCCUUGCCCUGCGCCACCAUCCAGAGGGAUGAGAGGUUCGACAACCUCGUCAAGUUCUAUCUUCCUCCCACUCAAUUCUCUCGAGAGAAACUCCUUCUCGAGAAAAGCUCCGUUUUUAGCAACAAACACUUUGCCCUCGGAUUUGAGAUAGAAGGUGUACCCAACCGUCUCUUUCGGGUAACCUAUGAAGACGCACUUUUCCGCUUUGGGUUCCAGCUUUUCAGGCUGAAGCUUUUUGACAUAAGCAUCACAUCCCCAAACUUUAAGAAANNNNNNNNNNUGGGUAACCCAUGAAGAUGCACUUUUCCACUUUGGGUUCCAGCUUUUUAGGCUGAAGCUUUUUGACAUAAGCAUCACAUCCCCAAACUUUAAGAAACGACAACUUUGGCCUUUUGCCAUACCACAGUUCGUAUGGUGUCGUCUCAACGGAUUUUGAUGGUGCCCUAUUUCAAGUGAAUGCAGCUGUUUCUAAUGCAUAGCCCCAAAAUGAUAACGGCAAAUCAGUAAGAGACAUCAUAGAUUGCACCAUCUCUAAUAGAGUACGAUUACGACGUUCGGACACACCAUUACGCUGUGGUGUUCCAGGCGGUGUUAACUGUGAAACAAUUCCACAUUGUCUUAAGUGAGUUCCAAACUCGAAACUCAGAUAUUCACCCCCACGAUCAGACCGCAGGAACUUGNNNNNNNNNNACCCCAAAACGAUAACGGCAAAUCGGUAAGAGACAUCAUAGAUCGCACCAUCUCUAAUAAAGUACGAUUACAACGUUCGGACACACCAUUAUGCUGUGGUGUUCCAGGCGGUGUCAACUGUGAAACAAUUCCGCAUUGUCUUAAGUGAGCACCAAACUCGAAACUCAGAUAUUCACCCCCACGAUCAGACCGUAGGAACUUGAUCUUCUUGUUACGAUGAUUUUCAACUUCACUCUGAAAUUGCUUGAACUUUUCAAAUGUUUCAGACUUGUGCNNNNNNNNNNAUCUUCUUGUUACGAUGAAUUUCCACUUCACUCUGAAAUUGCUUGAACUUUUCAAAUGUUUCAGACUUGUGCUUCAUCAAGUAGACAUAACCAUAUCUACUUAAAUCGUCAGUGAAGGUGAGAAAAUAACGAUAUCCGCCGCGUGCCUCCACGCUCAUCGGACCACACACAUCGGUAUGUAUGAUUUCCAACAAGUCACUUGCACGCUCCAUUGUUCCUGAGAACGGAGUCUUAGUCAUCUUGCCCAUGAGGCAUGGUUCGUACGUGUCAAGUGAAUCAAAGUCAAGUGACUCCAAAAGUCCAUCAGCAUGGAGUUUCUUCNNNNNNNNNNNNNNNNNNNNCGGUGCUCACUUAAGACAAUGUGGAAUUAUUUCACAGUUAACACCGCCUGGAACACCACAGCGUAAUGGUGUGUCCGAACGUCGUAAUCGUACUCUAUUAGAGAUGGUGCGAUCUAUGAUGUCUCUUACUGAUUUGCCCUUAUCAUUUUGGGGCUAUGCAUUAGAAACAGCUGCAUUCACUUUAAAUAGGGCACCAUCAAAAUCCGUUGAGACGACACCAUACGAACUGUGNNNNNNNNNNNNNNNNNNNNNNNNNNNNNNNNNNNNNNNNNNNNNNNNNNNNNNNNNNNNNNNNNNNNNNNNNNNNNNNNNNNNNNNNNNNNNNNNNNNNUCGUGCGCGUAGGAAAAUUUUUGUUUCCCAUGCGACGUUCCCCAACAGUGGCAUCAUGAGCUAGGUUCAUGCGUAGAUGUCUUCUCGAGUAGAAGACAAAAGUUUUUGUGGGCGGUGAUGUGCGUUUUGCUGCCCUCCUUAGUCUUUUCUUGAUUCCGCGGUAUUGUUGGAUUGAAGCGGCUUGGACCGACAUUACUCGUACGCUUACGAGAGACUGGUUUCAUCGUUACGAGUAACUCCGUUGCUCAAAUAUGACUGGCAAGUGUCGGUUUCUCCAACUUUAGUUGAAUCGGAUUUGACCGAGGAGGUCCUUGGAUGAGGUUAAAUAGCAACUCAUAUAUCUCCGUUGUGGUGUUUGCGUAAGUAAGAUGCGAUCCUACUAGAUACCCAUGGUCACCACGUAAAACAUGCAACAACAAAAUUAGAGGACGUCUAACUUGUUUUUGCUGGGUAUGCUUGUGAUGUGAUAUGGGCAAUGAUGUGAUGUGAUAUAUUGGAUGUAUGAGAUGAUCAUGUUGUAAUAGAAAUAUCGACUUGCACGUCGAUGGUACGGCAACCGGCAGGAGCCAUAGGGUUGUCUUUAUACUAACGUGUGUGCUUGCAGAUGCGUUUACUAUUUUGCUAGGAUGUAGCUUUAGUAGUAAUAGCAUGAGUAGCACGACAACCCCGAUGGCAACACGUUNNNNNNNNNNUUAGAGAACGUCUAACUUGUUUUUGCAGGGUAUGCUUGUGAUGUGAUAUGGCCAAUGAUGUGAUGUGAUAUAUUGGAUGUAUGAGAUGAUCAUGUUGUAAUAGAAAUAUCGACUUGCACGUCGAUGGUACGGCAACCGGCGGGAGCCAUAGGGUUGUCUUUAUACUAAUGUGUGUGCUUGCAGAUGCGUUUACUAUUUUGCUAGGAUGUAGCCUUAGUAGUAAUAGCAUGAGUAGCACGACAACCCCGAUGGCAACACGUUGAUGGAGAUCAUGGUGUGGCGCCGGUGACAAGAAGAUCGUGCCGGUGCUUUGGUGAUGGAGAUCAAGAAGCACGUGAUGAUGGCCAUAUCAUGUCACUUAUGAAUUGCAUGUGAUGUUAAUCCUUUUAUGCACGAACGACGGUAGCAUUAUGAGGUGAUCUCUCACUAAAAUUUCAAGACGNNNNNNNNNNAUGCACCUUAUCUUUCUUAGAACGACGGUAGCAUUAUGAGGUGAUCUCUCACUAAAAUUUCAAGACGAAAUUGUGUUCUCCCCGACUGUGGAGCGUUGCGACAGUUCUUCGUUUCGAGACACCACGUGAUGAUCGGGUGUGAUAGACUCAACGUUCNNNNNNNNNNCACCGUUGCUAUAGUUCGUCGUUUCGAGACACCACGUGAUGAUCGGGUGUGAUAGACUCAACGUUCACAUACAACGGGUGCAAAACAAUUGCACACGCAGAACACUCGGGUUAAGCUUGACGAGCCUAGCAUGUGCAGACAUGGCCUCGGAACACAUGAGACCGAAAGGUCGAUCAUGAAUCAUAUAGAUGAUAUGAUUAGCAUAGGGAUGCUUACCACUGAAACUAUACUCAACUCACAUGAUGAUCGGACUUGAGCUAGUGUAAGUGGAUCAUGAACCACUCAAAUGACUAGAGAGUUGUACUUUUUGAGUGGGAGUUUAGCGUAUAAUUUGAUUAAGUUAAACUCUAAUUAUCUUGAACAUAGUCUAAGUCCACUUUGAAUAUAUUUGUGUUGUAGAUCAUGGCUCACGCGACAGUCAUCCUGAAUUUUAAUACGUUCCUAGAGAAAGCUAAGUUGAAAGAUGAUGGAAGCAACUUUGUAGAUUGGGCUCGUAAUCUUAAGCUAAUCUUACAAGCUGGGAAGAAGGAUUAUGUCCUUAAUGCUGUGUUAGGAGAUGAACCACCCGCUACGGCUGAUCAGGAUGUUAAGAACGCUUGGUUAGCACGUAAGGAGGACUACUCAAUAGUUCAAUGCGCAGUCUUGUAUGGCUUAGGACCGGAACUUCAACGUCGCUUUGAGCGUCAUGGAGCAUUUGAGAUGUUCCAGGANNNNNNNNNNNNNNNUGCAGUCUUGUAUGGCUUAGAACCGGGACUUCAACGUCGCUUUGAGCGUCAUGGAGCAUUUGAGAUGUUCCAGGAGUUGGAGUUUAUCUUUCAGAAGAACGCCCGGAUCGAGAGGUAUGAGACCUCCGAUAAAUUCUAUGCUUGCAAGAUGGAGGAAAACUCAUCUGUUAGUGAACAUGUGCUCAAAAUGUCUGGGUACUCAAACCGUCUGGCUGAGCUGGGGAUUGAACUCCCGCAAGAAGCUAUCACUGACAGAAUCNNNNNNNNNNCGCUAGGAGAUGAACCACCCGCUACGGCUGAUCAGGAUGUUAAGAACGUUUGGUUAGCACGUAAGGAGGACUACUCAGUAGUUCAAUGUGCAGUCUUGUAUGGCUUAGAACCGAGACUUCAACGUCGCUUUGAGCGUCAUGGAGCAUUAGAGAUGUUCCAGGAGUUGAAGUUUAUCUUUCAGAAGAACGCCCGGAUCGAGAGGUAUGAGACCUCUGAUAAAUUCUAUGCUUGCAAGAUGGAGGAGAACUCGUCUAUCAGUGAACAUGUGCUCAAAAUGUCUGGGUACUCAAACCGUCUAGCUGAGCUGGGGAUUGAACUCCCGCAAGAAGCUAUCACUGACAGAAUCCUUCAAUCACUGCCGCCAAGCUAUAAAGGCUUUGUGUUGAACUACAACAUGCAAGGGAUGAACAAGUCUCCCGGCGAGUUGUUUGCGAUGCUGAAAGUCGCAGAGUCUGAACUCCGUANNNNNNNNNNGGCUAUCACUGACAGAAUCCUUCAAUCACUGCCGCCAAGCUAAAAAGGCUUUGUGUUGAACUACAACAUGCAAGGGAUGAACAAGUCACCGGCGAGUUGUUUGCGAUGCUGAAAGUCGCAGAGUCUGAACUCCGUAAAGAGCAUCAAGUGUUGAUGGUGAAUAAGACCACUAGUUUCAAGAGAAACGGCAAAGGCAAGAAGGGCAAUUCGAAGAAGAGCGGCAAGCCUGUUGCCAAUCCGACAAAGAAACCCAAAGCUGGGCCUAAGCCGGAAACGGAGUGUUACUAUUGCAAGGGUAUGGGUCACUGGAAGCGCAAUUGCCCCAAGUAUCUGGCAGAUAAGAAGGCGGGCAAAGAAAAAUCAGGUAUAUUUGAUAUACAUGUUAUUGAUGUGUACUUAACCGGCUCUCGUAGUAGUNNNNNNNNNNUAAUUCAAAGAAGAGCGGCAAGCUUGUUGCCAAUCCGACGAAGAAACCCAAAGCUGGACCUAAGCCUGAAACAGAGUGUUACUAUUGCAAGGGUAUGGGUCACUGGAAGCGCAAUUACCCCAAGUAUCUGGCAGAUAAGAAGGCGGCCAAAGAAAAAUCAGGUAUUUUUGAUAUACAUGUUAUUGAUGUGUACUUAACCGGCUCUCGUAGUAGUGCCUGGGUAUUCGAUACCGGUUCUGUUGCUCAUAUUUGCAACUCGAAACAGGAACUGCGGAAUAGGCGAAGGCUGGCGAAAGAUGAAGUGACGAUGCGCGUACGAAAUGGUUCCAAGGUUGAUGCAAUCGCCGUCGGCACAGUGUCACUUCAGUUACCGUCAGGAUUAGUGAUGAACUUAAAUCAUUGUUAUUUAGUGCCUGCGUUGAGCAUGAACAUUAUAUCUGGAUCUUGUUUAUUGCGAGACGGNNNNNNNNNNACGAAGGUUGGCGAAAGAUGAAGUGACGAUACGCGUAGGAAAUGGUUCCAAGGUUGAUGCAAUCGCCGUCGGCACAGUUUCACUUCAGUUACCAUCAAGAUUAGUUAUGAACUUGAAUCAUUGUUAUUUAGUGCGUGCGUUGAGCAUGAACAUUAUAUCUGGAUCUUGUUUAUUGCGAGACGGUUACUCUUUUAAGUCAGAGAAUAAUGGUUGUUCUAUUUCUAUGAGUAACAUCUUUUAUGGUCAUGCACCUAAUGUGAGAGGAUUGUUCAUAUUGAAUCUUGAUAGCGNNNNNNNNNNNNNNNNNNNNNNNNNNNNNNNNNNNNNNNNNNNNNNNNNNNNNNNNNNNNNNNNNNNNNNNNNNNNNNNNNNNNNNNNNNNNNNNNNNNNACACGUACAGCUCGACGAUGAUCGGCCUUCUUGAUCCAGCAAGAGAGACGGAGAGGUAGAAGAGUUCUUUGGCAGCGUGACGGCGCUCCGAAGGUUGGUGAUGACCUUGUCUCAGCAGGGCUCCGCCCGAGCUCCGCAAAAACGCGAUCUAGAGGAAAAACCGUGGAGGUAUGUGGUCGGGCUGCCGUGGGAAAAUCGUCUCAAAUCAGCCCUAAAACCUCCGUAUAUAUAGGUGGGAGGGAGGGGACCUUGCCUUGGGGCUCAAGGAGCCCCAAGGGGGUCGGCCGAGUCCAAGGGGGGAGGACUCCCCCCCCCAAACCGAGUUGGACUUGGUUUGGUGGGAGGGAGUCCCCCUUCCUUCCCACCUCCUCCUUUUUUUUUCUUUUCUCUUGAUUUUCUCUUCUUGGCGCAUAGAGCCCUUUUUGGGCUGUUCCACCAGCCCACUAAGGGCUGGUGUGCCACCCUCAAGGCCUAUGGGCUNNNNNNNNNNCUUUUCUCUCUUGAUUCUCUCUCCUUGGCGCAUAGAGCCCUUUUGGGCUGUCCCACCAGCCCACUAAGGGCUGGUGUGCCACCCUCAAGGCCUAUGGGCUUCCCCGGGGUGGGUUGCCCCCCCGGUGAACUCCCGGAACCCAUUCGUCAUUCCCGGUACAUUCCCGGUAACUCCGAAAACCUUCCGGUAAUCAAAUGAGGUCAUCCUAUAUAUCAAUCUUCGUUUCCGGACUAUUUCGGAAACCCUCGUGACGUCCGUGAUCUCAUCCAGGACUCCGAACAACAUUCGGUAUGUUACUUGCCCGAGAUUCGAUCGUCAGUAUCCGUAUACCUAUUUCAAUCUCGUUUACCGGUAAGUCUCUUUACUCAUUCCGUAAUACAAGAUCCCGCAACUUACACUAAGUUACAUUGCUUGCAAGGCUUGUGUGUGAUGUUGUAUUACCGAGUGGGCUCNNNNNNNNNNUCGAGAACUAUGUAGACAUGACCCGAGAGACUCCUCGGUCAAUAUCCAAUAGCGGGACCUGGAUGCCCAUAUUGGAUCCUACAUAUUCUACGAAGAUCUUAUCGUUUGAACCUCAGUGCCAAGGAUUCAUAUAAUCCCGUAUGUCAUUCCCUUUGUCCUUCGGUAUGUUACUUGCCCGAUAUUCGAUCGUCAGUAUCCGCAUACCUAUUUCAAUCUCGUUUACCGGCAAGUCUCUUUACUCGUUCCGUAAUACAAGAUCCCGCAACUUACACUAAGUCACAUUGCUUGCAAGGCUUGUGUGUGAUGUGUAUUAUCGAGUGGGCCCCGAGAUACCUCUCCGUCAUACGGAGUGACAAAUCCCAGUCUCGAUCCAUACUAACUCAACGAACACCUUCGGAUAUACCUGUAGAGCAUCUUUAUAGUCACCCAGUUACGUUGCGACGUUUGAUACACACAAAGCAUUCCUCCGGUGUCAGUGAGUUAUAUGAUCUCAUGGUCAUAGGAAUAAAUACUUGACACGCAGAAAACAGUAGCAACAAAAUGACACGAUCAACAUGCUACGUCUAUUAGUUUGGGUCUAGUCCAUCACAUGAUUCUCCUAAUGAUGUGAUCCCGUUAUCAAGUGACAACACUUGCCUAUGGCCAGGAAACCUUGACCAUCUUUGAUCAACGAGCUAGUGAACUAGAGGCUUACUAGGGACAGUGUUUUGUCUAUGUAUCCACACAAGUAUUGUGUUUCCAAUCAAUACAAUUAUAGCAUGGAUAAUAAACGAUUAUCAUGAACUAAGAAAUAUAAUAAUAACUAAUUUAUUAUUGCCUCUANNNNNNNNNNNNNNNNNNNNNNNNNNNNNNNNNNNNNNNNNNNNNNNNNNNNNNNNNNNNNNNNNNNNNNNNNNNNNNNNNNNNNNNNNNNNNNNNNNNNACGUCACAACGUAACUGGGUGACUAUAAAGGUGCACUACGGGUACCUCUGAAAGUAUCUGUUGGGUUGGUACGAAUCGAGAUCGGGAUUUGUCACUCCGUGUGANNNNNNNNNNNNNNNNNNNNNNNNNNNNNNNNNNNNNNNNNNNNNNNNNNNNNNNNNNNNNNNNNNNNNNNNNNNNNNNNNNNNNNNNNNNNNNNNNNNNNNNNNNNNNNNNNNNNNNNNNNNNNNNNNNNNNNNNNNNNNNNNNNNNNNNNNNNNNNNNNNNNNNNNNNNNNNNNNNNNNNNNNNNNNNNNNNNNNNNNNNNGACAGACAAAGGGAGUCGUGUACGGGAUUGAUUGAAUCCUUGACAUCGUGGUUCAUCCGAUGAGAUCAUCGUGGAGCAAGUGGGAGGCACCAUGGGUAUCCAGACCCCGCUGAUGGUUAUUGGCCAGAGAGGUGUCUCGGUCAUGUCUGCCUUCUCCCGAACCCGUAGGGUCUACACACUUAAGGUUCGAUGACGCUAGGGUUAUAGGGAAUUGUUAUACGAGGUUACCGAAAGUUAUUUGGAGUCCCGGAUGAGAUCCCGGACGUCACGAGGAGCUCCGGAAUGGUCCGGAGGUAAAGAUUGAUAUAUAGGACGGAUGGNNNNNNNNNNGUCUCCCGAACCCUUAGGGUCUACACACUUAAGGUUCGAUGACGCUAGGGUUAUAGGGAAUUGUUAUACGAGGUUACCGAAAGUUGUUCGGAGUCCCGGAUGAGAUCCCGGACGUCACGAAGAGCUCCAGAAUGGUCCGGAGGUAAAUAUUGAUAUAUAGGACACAUGGUUUCGGAUACCGGAAGUGUUUCGGGCAUCACCGGUAACGUACCGGGACCACCGGAGGUGGCCCCGGGGGACCACCGAAGGGGGGCAACAACCCCAGGAGAUAAGGUGGGCCAAGUGGGGGUGGGAACCAGCCCCUAGGUGGGCUGGUGCGCCUCCCCACNNNNNNNNNNGACCAGCGGAGGUGGCCCCGGGGGACCAUCGAAGGGGGGCAACGACCCCGGGAGAUAAGGUGGGCUAAGUGGGGGUGGGAACCAGCCCCUAGGUGGGCUGGUGCGCCUCCCCACUCAGCCCAUAGCGCAAGGGAGAGAAAAGGGGGGGCAAACCCUAGGCUAGGUGGGCCUAAGGCCCACCAGAUGGUGCGCCACCCCCUCCUCCCCCUUCUGGCCGCCGCACCUCCCAUCUGGAGNNNNNNNNNNNNNNNNNNNNNNNNNNNNNNNNNNNNNNNNNNNNNNNNNNNNNNNNNNNNNNNNNNNNNNNNNNNNNNNNCUAGGGGUGGCACUCCCUCUCCCCUCCCCCUAUAUAUAUCGGGCACUUUUGGCCAUUGAGACACACGGUAUUUCCCUCUCUCUCGGCGCAGCCCUGCUCUUCUUCCUCCUCCUCUGUGCCGGUGCUUGGCGAAGCCUUGCCGGGAGACCUCGUCUCUCCAUCGACACCACGCCGUCGUGUUGCUGGAGUUCUUCCCCAANNNNNNNNNNNNNNNNNNNNNNNNNNNNNNNNNNNNNNNNNNNNNNNNNNNNNNNNNNNNNNNNNNNNNNNNNNNNNNNNNNNNNNNNNNNNNNNNNNNNAACGCGAAUGGCCAAGGCGGUGGUGGUGGCGCUGGGGGGAGCGAUGGCAAUGGCAGCGGCUCCGGCUCCGGCGAUGGAAGCGGGUCAGGGAUAGGUGAGAACUAUGCACCGUAUGGUUCGAGCUACGCGAGCAGCGGAGGGGGCGGGGGUGGCGACGGCGGCGGCCGCAANNNNNNNNNNNNNNNNNNNNNNNNNNNNNNNNNNNNNNNNNNNNNNNNNNNNNNNNNNNNNNNNNNNNNNNNNNNNNNNNNNNNNNNNNNNNNNNNNNNNNNNCAGCAACGGUGAAUCAACCCCUUAAGUAGAUGCGAGCUCAUUUCAUUUGCCUCCAAAAUAAUACGGCUGGCCAGCUAGCUCCGGCCACUGCCUACAGUUGCUCUACUUAUGUCUAGUAGUGUGUCAACGUGUGACACGUACUGUAUGUUUCUUGGAAUGUUUAAGCUCUAAUAUUUGGAUUUUCUAGUACUAAAAAGCCAGGCCAAUGGCCUUGUUUCUGAAGAGAAUAAUGUUUUUUUUGUAAUAAUUAAAGAAAACUCAUAGCAAAUUUUCCAGAGUCCGAAAAACACUCCCGAGAUACAUUUGUAAAGAAUUUCAUAUCUGAGAUGGUUGUACUUCGAAACUCGAUUUGGAAUAAUGAAAAUCUAACUGUAUUUUUGAAAAUAAUAAUCAGAAACGAUUUUUCGUCCAACAUGACUGGGAUUGGGAUCAUACAAGCUCAGUCUUUGGAUCUCCCCACCCUCCCAAUAGGGUCAUGUAAAAAUGCCUAAGAGACCCGGAUCCGACCCC